rnacentral:lncRNA from 1 species
UUUGAUUCUGCUUUUUACUUUCUCUGCCGGUACAUAGUCUGUUGUGGUGUUUACUGUUAUGCUCUUACAUUUUGUAUACGUAUCUCGUUUGCAUGCGCUAUUGUUUACUGUGCUUGUUUAGAUCCUUUUUUUUCUACAAUAAUUGGGUAAUGAACUUGUCUGUUGGUCUGAUUGCAGCAUGCAUACCGAGAUGGCCGUUUAGAGGAAGUAGCACUGCGUCAUAUUGGAAAUGAAGAUGGUCAGACGGUGAUAGCUACAAAUAUUAGGUUUUACCCUGUACCUUUGAUCAUUUCCUCCAUUUAUUUUCCUUUUCAUACUAAAUCUGUGAUGUUUUCAGGUUGUCAGACUUUCUGUCUGAUCUGCACAUAAGGUGAACAGUGCCGUUUCAAUGUCCCAAUGUAAGUUUAUGCAGUUUGGAAUUUGGUUAUUUACUACUACUGUUGUCCAUAAAUGUGUUUGUCCAUUUAGGGCAGACCUCUAAUGUGAAGGGUUAAGUUGUCAAAUAACACAUACUAAGUUUUGCAUAGAACAGGAUGAUGUGUCAGUGAAGCGAUGCUAAUGUUUAUGAUAGGCGCACGCUCAUACCAUAUCGUACUGUAACUUAUGGGCAGUGGUAAACUAGACCGUGAACUUAGUCAAACUGAACGUUUAACUUGUUUGGUUGGAGGUCAUUAGAGUUGCACAUUCAUGAGUUUCCCUUCAUGAGGCUGGUAGACCAGUGUCCUUUUUCAGUAAAACAAUGCCGUAUGCUUCAGCUUUGCCUAAAUGUGCAGGAUAUUCUUUUUUCAUCAAGAACACAUCCGCAGCUCUCAUGCUGGUUUUUCAAAUGGAAAGUGGAAUGCUCCGGUGGUUUGCAAGGUGUGAUUUCUGUACUUUGAAUGUUUUUAAUGAUGGUAGAAGACUGUUUUCCAUCAAAAUUUCCCUUAAAUGAUGUAGGAAGUAUGUUUUAAUGUUUUUCUUUUUUGUUUCAUUUACAACUUAAAUACUGAACAUGGGGCUGAAAUCAGAAUCUUGUAUUAUCCAAUUUCUCUUGUUUUGGAACACCGAUCGUCAUUUCAGUCUCUCUUUGUUAGUUCCUGCCGCUGGUUAAUUUUACUCUGGAUUUUUUAAUUGUAAUUGUGCUUUCUUUUGGCAAGAUACAUAUCUAACUUUAUACGAUACUCGAUUCUUGAUGCAGAAUUGGUUGCUGGAUGGCUACAUCCAGUUGUGUGAGAGUCGACAUGCUUGGUUGCCGUGAACUACAUUUAACAGAAUUCUAAAUAAAGUUAUUAUUGAGUGCAUGAGUGUAUGUUCAGAAUUUUGACAAUUAUGCAAUGUGCCCGUCUGUGACUUGGAUGAGUGUCUUCAGAUCGGGACGAUAAGAUAGUCUGGAUAACCGCAAGUGUCAUCAAAUAUCAAACUGGUUGGGGGCUGUGUACAUACAUACACAAAUGGCUAGUUCUUUAAAGGGACUUUUAUAUCGCCGGCAGUAGACACUUUGAUAAAAUUAAAUGCCUUUUGGAUGAUGCCUUUGGGGUUAUUUGUCAUGUUUUUGUUCUUCUGAUCAAACAAGAAUGGUACUCAUUCAAGUAGAAGAUUCAACGAUGGAUGCCUGCAGGUAGGGUACUCCGGCAAUUUCCCAAUUUAUUGUUUGUUGUUUUAGCAUCAUUGCAUUCAGAAGGUUAUAUUGGUCUUAAUUUAUCAGGUUAUAUGAGUCCAGUUUGGAGUAAAUUUCCUUUGCGGUACAUGUCUUUUCACUUUUAGCAAUUUUGCUUAUGUAGUUUACUACUGCUGCAGUUGAGUGCCAAAUUGCGUAAUUCUUGUCAAUUUGUUUAGCGGAAUGAGCACGCCAAGGGCGCACAUUCUUGUAGUUCCUCGCGUGCUAAUUCCGCUGAUAAGAGGAAUAAUAGUUCGAAACUUUUUACAAUAGUUUAGGAGAGGUGAGAGUUUCAAAUCCGAAUGUACAGGUAGAAACUCAACAUCAUCUAUUAGAAUAUUAGACCAUAUAAAAGGAUGUUUUAGUAGUUUUAUUUUAUUAGCAUAAUUGGGUGGUUUUGGUAACAUUAUAUUUAUUAACUUACUUUUUCUCACCGGUUAUUUAGAAACCGUACCGUUAUUCUGAGUGAAGAUUGAUCCAAUUUUCUCUACAGCAAAAACUUAAAACAAUACAAUGUGGCAAGUGUCCUACUCUUCUAACAGAGAAUGUGAAGGAUUGAGCACGGAUUACAAGUCAUAAUAAUGCUAGAGAGAUCAUCCAUUUAAAUUAAAUUUUGCUUGAUGUGAUGGGUAAUUGUCACGCUCCGAUCCCAAGUAGCACGUAUCUUUGUACUUGCUGAACAAUCAUGCCUCACACCACCAAGAGAUGACAAAAAACAAACCAACGGUUCAACAACGUAGUAUUCUUUCCUCUGAUUACAUGGUUGCAUCUAAUUUAUGUGUUAAAUUGUUGAUGGGAUCAAGCCAUUCGUAGUUCAAUCUUGUUAAACUCCGACAUUUCUCAUUGUACUUCUAGCAGAAAACAUAGAGUUCCAUAAUCACUCAAUGAAACUUUAUGAGCAUGAUUCACUAGAUUUCAGACUACUUAGGCCAUCUCUAACUGAAGACUAGCCAAAGUGUUCGUUUUAGCUCUCUGGUCCUUCAAUAAAUUAAUAUUUUAAUGAACAGUGCAGAGUCAUAUUCUUACUAUCUCCAACCGAGGGCCAAAGGGUCAUAGGGAUCGUUUUAGCCCUGUCACAAGAAACCGUCUCCAACCAAGGGCCAAAUGGCUAUAGUAUGGACCGUGAAUAAUUGAAAUAAAAUGAGGUAAGAUAGUAUGAAAUAGUGAAAAUUAUAUGAGAAAUGGUAUAGGAAAAAAAUUAGAAAUUAAAAAACAAAAAAAAGGCUGCUGGGCAUAAAAACAAAAAGUGGCCUGGGAUCAUGAAAAAAAAAUUAAGUCCUAAACACUAAAGUGGGCUGGGUAAUGGAAAAGAGUAAAAGAAAAAUGGCUGGGCCAAUGGAAAAGAACAAAAAAAAAAAUAAAAAAUUGGGCUAGCCAGCAGGCUGGCUAAAAGUGGCCAGCCGGUUGGUCAUUUGGCCCUUUCAGAUUUCAUGGGGCCAACGAGCCCUCAGUUGGAGACGGUUUUCGGACGUUUUUCGGCAUUUUGGACCCUUCGGUUGAAGAUGACCUUAAUAAAUAUAACAGCUAGAAUUAUAAUUUUAUCUUUCACAUAUACCACAUUGUUUUCCAACAAUUCCACAAUCACAACAAAUAAUCAAUUUCAUGAAUCAAAGAUGCUCAAUUUCAACAUACACAGCCCUAACCGGAAAGGGAUCUCCGGAUCCCUUCCACCAAAUCCACCAAUCCGGGCCCUUGAAAUUUGAUUUAACGGCUAAAGUUAUUAUAACAUUUAAAAUGACUCAUGUUUUUAGCUAUUGGAUCAAAUUUCAAGGAUCUAGAUUAGUGGAUUUGGUGGAAGGGAGAGGAUCCCUUUCCGCCCUAACCAGUUUUAUAUUGACAUGAUAUGGUAUCACUGCCAAAAGGAAUAAUCAACCUCGCAUCCCUUCAAGAGAUCAGAAAUAGUGAUUGCUCUCCUCCCAAAAGGAAUAAUCAACCUCACAUCCCUUCAAAUGCCAACCUCCUUUCUUCAUUCAUCAUUCCUUUUGCUUUCGGUCGACAUUCAUUACCUGCAUUUUAUUUUUCUUUUCAGGUGAUCCCAUGCGGAUCGAAGCUUUCGUCCGCGCUUAGAACUCUUGUGAUCUCUGAUUGAGCAACACUAGUUCCACAGCGAAUGGUAUGCAUUCCAUUACCUACUGAUCCCGCUAACUUCACUUUUUUUCUUAAUUUCCUUUUAUUCAAUAAUGAAGUCUUUAUCUUUUUAUAAUUACAUGCUUGUGCACAUUCAUGUUCUUCCUUAUCAUCUUACUUACAUUAACAAUUUCGACCAAAAAAACAUACCUAAGUCAAUCAACUUAUGUUGAGAACGAAUCUUGAAUUGAUGGAAGAAGUCAAUCAACUUAUGUUGAGAACGAAUCUUGAAUUGAUGGAAGGAGGAACUUUGGAUGAGCUUAUAAGAAAGUUGGGCACCUCCUCAAUCCUCAUAUUGCCAAUUGGUUUUAUGGUGGAACAUCAACUUCCUUCACCUAAGUGAAUGAUCUAGCACAUUUUGUAUAAAUAGUGUGUCAUCUAGCACUUUUUGGAAGUAUGGUGUUGAGAUUCACAACAAUCUUCAAAACCUGUCUUUAAUUUUACGUCUAUUUUUCAACCUUUUCUAAUAAAUUCCCAUCUAACUCUCCCUACGUACUACGUACUAUGACAAUUUAGUUCUCUAGAUCAGUACUAUUGUAGCUACCAAGUAACCGGGCAGAUGACAGUUUGUUACUUCAUUCAAUACAAUUAUUAUAUGCACAACCUUUACAAUUCUUUUUAAUUUUCAAACUAUAAUAUGGCUUCAAAUUUUUUUCGUUUCUGUUUUGCUUCUCAGUUUAGUUUCAUGGAUAUGCAGUACCGAUUCAAAGAAGAAACAGAUGGGAUGAAGAAGGAAGCCAAGCCAAUAACCAUACAGCUUUUUCUUUACAGGUGACUCAUUUCUGUACAUGUGACAAGUAUAUUGUCACGAUGACUGAUAUUUAUGAACGAGAUUCAGAUUGCUCUGCAGGUUUUAAUCAUACGUCUUAUUUUGUUUUUCUCUGGUUUAUUGUAUUGAACGUCGAUUUUCUCAUCAUAUUGCUUGCUUUGUUGCUGUGUUUUAUUUUUCGUACCUUGUUACUUGCAUUCAUAUCACUAGAAAGAGCUCUAAAUUGGGUUUUGAACGUGCAGUGUAGUGGGAUAGCCGCGUAUGUGAUACACACUGUUUGUUGUUGAGCUUCAACAGCGGAUCAAAUGUCUCAGUGCUGCAUGGAAGCAUGAGAGGACGUGUUUAUAUCUUGAGCUCGGGAUCACAUCUCAGUGAUUCCAUGAUCUAUUCUUGAAAUUUCGGCCGAGACAAAUAUGAAAGAUUGCAAGACUGCAGAAGUGUGGUAAGUAAGAAGUGGAUUAGAGCGGGAAGAAAAACGUUUUCCUGCCCUCGAGCCGACAUGGAGGUGUUCACUUACCGUUCAUUUGAAAGUUCUGUAUGUCUGAUCGUGUGCCGUCUGCUCCGACAUGAAGCAAAAACGUUUACAGUUGAUCAGUUGCUUAGUGGAAUUCGCUUGCAAGUUUGUGAGGUGAAUUCUUGGGGUAUGGGUUUUAUGUUAAACUCAAUUGAUGAGCUUUGCAUUCUCAGAGCGCUUGGAUGCAUGGAAGGCCUUCAAGGGCGCCUUGAGUUCAUGAGGUUCUUUGAAUUUCUCACUGUGGCCGCCCAGUGCAAACAGUGCACCUGUCCGGUACCCAAAUUGUUAUGGGGCACUUCUACCUUAGCGAAUCGCGAUAGCGUGGACCAGAGUCUUUCUUUCAGACCAGUGCCCUUCCGUCGCAGCUUUCCUUAUCGGCCUCUUGACCUCCGAAAUUGCCGCAGAAAUCGCCCAAAACUCGACUGAAUUUUACAGAAUCGGUGGCAUCGUUCACCGCUGCAUUCCCUCUAUGCGCAGCUCAUUAAGCCUUCUCGAUACUCUUGGUCCGGGCACACGGUGAGUACUAUACUAAUAUUUCACCAAAACUUGCCCAUUUAUAUGUUUAAUUGUUAAAUUUGUGAUUAAAGUGAGUAACUUUGAGAUACCCAGAUUGUUUCAUUCACUGCUGCUUGUUUUCCAGAUUCAGACGAAAGAUGGGUACUUAAUGGGUUUGAGAUAUGAAGGACUAUGUCGUGUUUGUUAGUGCAAUUUCUGUUUGGUUUGAGACGUGAACGGGCUAAUGAGAUUGCUUUGGUGGGGGCUGAUCUGCGAGUAAAAUAUUGAUUCUCUGGACACUUGGUUAGUGAAAAGCCUAACUUUUAUAGCUCCUUCCAAUUUUUUCAACAUAUUGGUCCCAAUAAGUUUAUUAUUUCAAAAUUUGAACGUAUAGCUCACUAUUUGGUGCUCCCUCAUCUGAAGUUUUCAGGUUCUGUUGAAAUUUCCUUUUCUUGAAACUAACUAGUGGGUAAAGUGAUGAACAUCCAUGCGAUACAUGUUAAAUUAGGCUCUAAUAUGCUUCAAACUCAAUUGAACUUGGUAACUGGAUUUUCUUGAUCUUAACUAGGUGAUGCAUGAUUCUUAAAUUCUCCAGCAGAAUCGCUGGGAUUCGUCCUUGCAGAUGAAGGUUUCGUUGUAUGGGUAGGGAAUGUGUGUGGAACACGUUGAAGUCAUGGACACAUAUGUUUAUCAGAAGAGAAUAAGGUUUAUGCUUUAUUGUAGGAUUAUUGGGAUUGGAGUUCGCAGGAAUUGGCUCUAUUUGUAUUGUCAGAAAUAUGUGCUGCAUAUAUUCGACAACAAGCUCCAAAGUCUUUGUUGUUGGACAUUCACGGGUCUUACACCUCUUCAUCCUCUUCAUAUCUCCUUCCCUUGCUGCUAUGGUGUUUACUCAAUUUAUCCACGUUAUUAGGGAACAAUCAUGCCUUUAGCUGCUCUCACCUAGCCGGAUAUAGCAGAACUGGUUGAAGCUGCCGCUCUUUUCUGUCCAAUAUCAUACUUGGAGCAUAUCACUUCUAAAUUUGCACUUAGAAUGGUCAUCAUAUAUAAUGAUCAGGUAUUCCUUAUCUUCUUCAAAGUAUAGCGAAUGAAUAGCUUCUGUAAUAAAAUUGAUGCAUAUGUUCAUCUUUUUAGAUGAUUCUUUUUACUCAGUGUUAGAUUUUAUUAGUAGUAAUCUUGUUAUUUUCUGUAGAUUAUAUCCAGUGAAUGGGGCGUCAACUUUUUGGAUUCAAUAUGUGGUGGCCAUGUUGACUACUUGGACUAGUUGUAUAUGAUUUUGCUUUUCGUCGUCAGGGUUUAAAUACUAUGUUCCCCGUUGUAUGUUCUCUUUAAGUAAUAUAAUAUGGGCAUAAGGGUCUAACCCCCCAGCUUUGACUAGGUUUCAGCCCUCUUUAAAUUUCUUUUUAAUAUAUGGUAUAUCAAAAAAAUGCACAUUUUGACCCCGAGCACCAAAAAACUCAUGACCAACCCUGCACCCAACACGUCUCUACUCUCAUUGAGUGAAAUGCCUUUCACACCAUCAAUUCCAAUCUCCUCUAUCCUUUUAGGCCCCCCCCAUCCAAAAUCUGUUUCAUAAAGAUCCACCUUCGGCGACCCAAGAACCACUGCUCGGACCAGAGAAUCUCCUCCUGCCUCGAAAUCCACUUCUCUGCAUCUCCCAAAAUUGCCUUGUCUAACUUGUUAAUAGUGUUUCCGAUUGUUUUUACUGCAACAAGUUUGUCCAAUUACGUGAAGAUAUGCUACAAGUUAUUGCAUCUUUCUUGGAAGAGCACUUCUGGAUCACUAAGAACCAAUCCACUGUUUCUCGAUCCUCAGCUGAAGUGGAGUAUCGUGCCAUGGCCUCCAUCACAUGUGAAUUCAGUGGAUGAAAUAUUUACUAGAUGACUUAAGAGUUGACCAGGGAGUUUCUAUUGUUAUAAUCAAGUUGCAGUUUACAUAGCUGCAAAUCAUGUAGUUCGUGAGUGUACCAAACACAUCGAGAUUAACUGUCACAUUGUUCGCGAAGGAAUGCAAGCUGGUAUUAUCAAAACAGCCUAUGUCCCAUCUUGAAGUUCACUAAUAUACUCAGCAAACCCCUUGGACAUGAGAUUUGUCGUUUUCCAAUUGGCAAGCUUGGUGUUCUUACAUCCACGCUUUAGCUUGAGGGGGAAUAUUGUCGGAUUGAAUCGCAUAUACAUUUACAUUUUUUUCCUCAUUGCACAUGACUUACAUGUCACCGGUGUCAGUGUCGGAUAAUGUCACCGCCAUUGGUGCUAGAAAUUUUUUCCAGUCGCCCAAAAAUUUAUAGUCCUUGUUCAACAAUGACACAAAAAAUAACAAUUGGUGCAACUUUUUCUUCUUGAAUUAUGUUUUGCUGUGUGCGUUUAUUGGUUUUCCACACUAUACAAAAUAAAAUUAGAGAACUUAGAAAAUUCAUCAAUUAACAUAACUCGCUUUUGGAAGUGACAUUUGAAGAAAAAUUGGUGCCGAUCACUGAAAUAUUUGAUAGCUAGUCACAAGAAAACAUUGACCGGUCAGAAAAUGUGGUAACAUUAAAAGUGACAACCAUGUAAUUAUUUUAAUUUAUAAUAGUGUUUAUAUAUAAAAAGUUGUCGACUUUUCCAUUAAUACCUAAAAUGUCACCAAUACAGUAAUUCUCUUGGCAUUGUUUUUCUAUACCGUUUUGGAUACAUUACCAACUCUGCAACAAAACGCGCUCCGUACGUGCACCCAACUCGCAUUUUCUAUAAACCCUUCCGCACGUUAAUUGUCAACUUCCGAAACAAAAACAGUAUGUAGCCUUCCCAAUAUACUAUGAAUUGACCCAAAAUUAAAAUAAAAAAAUGGCCAAAAAUGGAAAAGAAUACCUGUCCUUUGUAAUAUUCCAAAGGACAAUCACGAACGGUCUCCUAUAUAUAGUUGAUAAAUUCCUCAAUCCCACCAAACUCCUCAGCCUCAACUCUCAAAUAUUCCACUACGUUUUUGCUCAUCACAGCCUAAAAAAGACCGGAAGGCCACCAUGGAAAUGAAGAAGAUUGCUUGUGCUGUCCUCUUCGCAGCCGCCUCUGUCAGCUCUGUGAUGGCUCAUGCAGGCCACGCCCACGCGCCCGCCCCGGGACCAGGAGCAGCCCCAAGUGAUGCCUCUGCCAGCCUCCCCGUCCUAGGGUCCGUGGUUGGUGCAUCCGUUGUGUCAUUCAUUGCUUACUACAUGCAUUAAAAUAAUAAAGAAGACAUGACAACCGAGAGAGAUUCAACUGAGUAAUUCAAAAGAAGGGGAAUGAGAUUGAUGUUUUCUUUAGUUCCUGAAUAGAGGGUCUGUCUUGGUUCUCAUUCUUUCAAAUUUAUGUGAACCAUUUGUUUUAAUAAUAACGUAAUAAAAUAGCGUUUUCCUAAUCUUCAGACGAUAUUGUUGGUUACCUAGUGAAAAUUUGUUUACUGUUGUACUUUUUAACUUUUAACUUUCUCUUGCAAGGUGCAAAGUGAUACAUUUGUAUGAGAAAUAAACUGCCAAAAAAGAAAAUAAUGUAUGCAGAAAUCAUUUCUUUGUAGAAAUCAAGCUCAAAAUUUUCAAUUAACGUCCAAAUAUUUCAAUUUUGAUCUUUUUUUCUUAAUACAUAUAUAGAAAAAAUCCUGAAAUUAAGAUAAUUAAAGAAGGAAAUUAACUAUAAUAUAUUGUCGCGUUGAUCUGUUACCGCGUUCUGUUGAGAAGUCAAGGAUAUGUUACCCUAUAUUUAUAAUAUUUCUCCAUUAAUUCAAGCCAUUUUCUUGUUUUGCUUUUCAUCAUGGAAUAGGAUUUGAAACUUGGUCCUCCCAUGCAUCUGUUACAAUUUCUCUGUUAUUCCCAUAUUUUCUGAUGGAGAGCUGCUAGACUCACCUCAAUAUCUUUUUUUUCAUUUACAUUAUAAAUUUACUCUUUAUAAAAAGUUAUAAAUUGAAACGCUAUUAUUAUCCACUAUUAUUUCUAAAAUAAUUGCUAAUAUGUUAUUUCUCUACCCACUAAUAUUUCUAAAAAUAACUAAAUUAUAUUUCCUCAACAACAAAGUCUCCUUCCAUGAUAAUCUACCAAUAAAUGAAUAACUUGUAAAUGCUCCGGUGUGUGAUUAUGCACUCCAAUAACUACCAUCAAUAUUCAAUCAUCAUCAAUUGCUAGCUUCUUAACCUUUAGUUGAAAAGAGCAUCCACACCUUUCUUUCCAAAAUUCGUUUUAUCCUUUAUUGUUCUUUCACAGUCAAAGUAAUUAUUCGGCUCCUGUUACCUUUUCACACUCAAUCUAUUAUUAUUAUUAUUAUUAUUAUUAUAUAUCUAUUAAGAUAUUUAUUGGUCAUUUUACAAACGGAAAAUUAGAAGGCCCUACAUAUUUUCUAUAGUUGUUAGAUUAAACAUUCAUCCCUUUUAAAGAUUUGAUUAAGGUGCUUCAAUCAAUUGCCACCUCAAUAAUUUUCUAUUUAUUUAUUUUCCAUGUCAUUAAUUUAAAUGCAUUUAUAUAGAGGUAUAAGGUAGCUUAGCAACUAAUUGUCUAUAAUAUAGGAAUUUAAUUUCCUCAAUCCCCUUCUUCGCAUUAAAUGACAUUUUUUUUAAUAAAAUAAAAUAAAAUUUUAAUUAACUAAUUCCUCAUUUCCUUAUUAUUAGUAUUUAAAGAAAAUACUCUUUCUAUUAAAAUUGUACCAAUAAAAAAUCUUUAAUACAUAUUUUUUCAUAUAUAGAUAUAUAAAAAAAUAUACUUAAAAACUUAUGGUACAUUUGAGAACAAAAGUAUCGACUUUUGGUACGUUUAGAUUUCAAAUGUACCGAGAAACCAAAUGUACCAAAAAUUCAAAUGUACCAUAAAACCAAAUGUACCCAUUGUUAUGUAACCUUUUUGGUACGUUUAUAUUUCAAAUAUACAGAGAAACCAAAUGUACCAAAAUUUCAAAUGUACCAUAAAACCAAAUGUGCCCAUUGUCAAGUAAUCAUGUUGGUACGUUUAGAUUCCCAUUGUACCAAAAGACCAAAUGAACAAAAAAUCUCAAAUGUACCACAAAACCAAACGUCUCUAUCAGAUAACCCUUUUGGUACAUUUACAUUCCAAAUGUACCAAGAAAUACAAAAAAUCAAAUCCACUAUAAAACUAAAUGUGUCCAUAUUAUAGGUAACUAGACGUAGCUAUAUUAUCAAACAAAUCUUUACUAUGUGUUGGGUCUUCUAAAUAAUAAAUUUGACAAUUUUUUUUUAUAAAUAUUCUACUAUAUUCACACAAAAAAAGUAAAUAUUAUAACAAACAAUAAAAAAAAUGCAUGGAGAUGGAUAAUAAAUGCAUAAAUACAGGGAUAAUAGGAAAAGAAAAAAAAAGAAAACGAAAUGCCCAAGAGAUGGAUAAUAAAUGCAUAAAUAUAGGGAUAAUCGAGAUAAUAGGAACUGAAAUUAAUAACCAAAAUUUUAGGAAAAUGUUUGAUCAAAUUUUCAAAAGGAGUGUAUGUUUAGUCUAAAAAAUUAAAAAACGAGGCGCCUAUAUCAAAAUGCCUCUUUUACAAAUGGACAAACUUAUAAAUAAAAAUUUCAUGAAAAAGUGGGUGGAGAGGUAAGACACUGUGAAUGAGAAUAAAGCCUCUUUUAAUAUUAUAUGAAUGUUCUGCCAUAUGGUUCUAUUUACUAAUAUUUUUCUCAUUUAUAAGUAAGAGAUUAUAUGUUUGAUAAUCGUGUCCAUUAUAUGGUUUAACCUAAAUCUUCUACACAAUGUAAACAUAUAGAUAUUUUCAGAAAAAUAACUUUUUUUUAUAGAGAUGAUGUUUUACUAGAAUCUUAAGAAAUAAACGGUUUGAUCAUCAAAAUAUCCAUCCACAUAUGGGAAAAUUCGUUCUUGGGCCAUGGCGAUAGACCUAAAAUUUUUGUUAGCUGUUGUACUCUAACUUCUUGUGCUCAAGUAAUUGAAAGAACCACGUACGCCAUUAGACAAUGAUGCAGGCAGCGUGUGGAUUGUGGAGAUGUGGUGAGCUUUAUCUCUGAAAUAUAUAUUAUAUUGCAGGCCUUAUGUAAGUUUUUCUCUCUUAAUAUGUAUAUAUAGGAAUGGAUAGUGUCAUUUACACUCAUUUUUACUUUUCACAUAUUUUUCUUAAAUUUUGAUUGUUAGAUAAAAUAAAUUGAGAAUAAUGACAAAAUUAAUAAAAGUGUGUAAACAGUAAAAAAUGAGGUGUGAAUGGUAUUAUCCAAUAUAUAUUGCAGACUAAAGGCCUCGAUCGUUGUGAAAACCAGGUCACGGGAGGGAAUUUCCCUUUUCAUGGUAUCAUCAAUUUCAUGCGCAAAACUUAAUUAUAUACGUGGCAUGAGUUGGCAUCUGCAUGAAUCGCAAGCUGCUUCCAUAUGGACCAAAUUCCAGUCCAUGUGUCUACCAUGCAUUGGAACUCUAAAAUUGCACUCAACCUCAACGCACCAUUCUGCAUAAACCCUAGUUACCUAGCUUCUCACAUAUAUAGCAGUUUGGGCCUCUGAAUUAGAUAUAGCUAAUGGCUUCUACUAAGGCAUUCUUGGUCGCAGUAGCUCUUAUUAUGUUUCUUGCUAUGAAUUAUAUCGCAGCCUCAGCCUUUGGGGAUGGGAUUGCUCCGGCGCCGGCCAUGGCCACCGGAUCAGCUUCUGCUUCUUCUGCUUCGGUCGCUUUGCCAGGGUUCUCUUUUGUCUAUAUUUUUUGUGUUGUUUUAAAUGUAAUAUAACUAGUACUUGUAGGUUCUAAAUUAAUAAUCAUUUCAAGUCUUCAAGACGAUGUAUUCUCCUAGCUUUCUACCCGAUAUAUAAUUGCACUUGCUGUUUUAUACACCCUAUUCAUAUUAAUAUUUCUACUCUAGUUAUCUGUAUAAUAUUGUGCGUGUCUUUUGUCUGGAUAGGUAAUGUUCGCACGAGGUCUUGUGUCUAAAUAAAAUAAAUUAAUUUAUAAUCAUGUAACUGCGGAGAGAUUUUUCAUGUAUAUGUGUCAUGAACACCGCAUCUUAUUAUACAAGAAAAGCUUUUUAAUGUUCAUCUCUAAUUGUAUAAUAACAUGUAGUGUUUCACUCCGUAUUAUGGAAACACUGAAAAAUCUCUCGUUAUUACGGUACUGAGUGGGAACUUGCUCAAUGUGUGCUAUUUUCAUGCCAUACCUUUAAUGACAAACGGUCUGUAGCAUCUUUUAGUGCAGAGGGAGAUGAAGAUUGAACGCAAAGUAACAAGAAGGUGAAUUAAUCUGGAUCGCGAAUAUAUGAAUUAGAAUGCAAAUGGAAAUGAUAGUAAUUAUAAACUUAAACAACACCUGAACCAAUGGGAGUUUGAAAUCGAUGCCGAGUGCAGUCUUGGCAGAGCUAAAAUUAACAGCAACUUCAGCAACAUGCGUUUUCGGACUUGGAUUUGAGUGAGGGCAUUGGGUAUGAAGUUGGAUGUAUAUGAAAUUUGUGUGAAAAAUUAUUUGGGGUUGAUCAUGGAUAUCUUCCUCCUUCAUCAGAAAACUUUGUCAUUUGAUUUUGGAUGAACUACAAUUGGUAUGAUGAUGCCACUUUUAUUUGCCAAAAUUGUUCACCUGCUUUCUUUUGUCCAAAGUGUUAGAGUAUGAGUGCGAUUCUUACAGUUUAGUAAUAAUCAUUGUUAUUUUAGAUUGGUAUAAAGAGGUCUUGAUGUGUUUAUAAGAGUUAAUUCAACUUUGGUUUGGAUUGAAACUCUACUAUUGGCUCGAGAAUAGAACUCAUACUUAUACAAGGAUUUGGUCUUGUAUUCCUUGUAGGAUUGUAAUAGGGCAAUCUAUGUUUAGUAUAAAAACAUAAGCCACUGCUCUCACAAAACAUAUGCUCAAUAUUGAACUAAGACCUAUUGUUAGUUUGAGUACUUUUGGUUUUGCAAGAGAGGAGAAGGUGCACUGUUUAGAAGUCUACUUUGGCUUCUUCUGCUGCUGCUUUUACGGGUUAGUUUGUCAUUGUGUUUAUCAAAUUGUGAUUUUAAUACUUAUAUAAAUUUGUGGUUUAUGAGCUUAAUCUCUUAACUUAUAUUUUGAUAAGUUUAAUCUUACAUGUGGUAUCAGAGCCUAAGAUUUUUGCUCUUGAAUUCAUAUUGAAAGUAUUAAAUUAAAAGAGCAAAAUACGUGACGGUAAAUUAGCAGGGUUCAGGCUUAGUUUGUGAGAAAUUUUGGACUUUAAAUUGAGUGCCGGCUGUAUUAGAUUAAUCUUUUCUUCCCGCACAAGUUACACAUUAUAACAAUCCAACAAUCAAACUUGAACUUAACAAUCUCAUCAACGGGAGUUACACACUCAUCUCGUAAGCGCAGCGAACAACACUCCGACUGACAAGCCAGCAAUGCACAAGAAUGAAACGCCGCGAACACGAACGAAGAAGACAUUCAAAUUCUUACCAACCUGAAGGGUGAGAGUCAGAAUCUGCAGCCUGCCUUGCUCCUCCAUCUUCUUAAAGAAGUAGAUUGACUUCAAACUCUGCCUCAACAUGAACGCCAGCGUAAAGGGUAACCCGAAAGCCAAAAUGCUCUGAACUGAAACCUCCGGCAUUGGGGUCGAUAUGGUAAUGUACGAAAUCCAAGCUCCGACGCCGAGUUGAGCCAAACCCAGAAGAGCCAAUGCCCUGCUCAGACUAUACAUGUUUUUGGCCAUCGAUUCCAGAACUUCUCUGGUCUCAUUGGCCAAAGUCGAAAGGUCUCGCUCCACCGUCGGUCCUUCGAUUUCUUGGUGCUUGAAGUUAGGGUUUUGACUAGGGUAUUCAUUUGGGUUUUGGGGCUUUUCAGAUUCUGGGUUUUGGGAUUUUUCAGAUUCUGGAUCCGGUGACGGUGAACUAGAAGAAGUUGAAAAAAAUCUGGGUUUUUGAUCUGAUGACCCAUUAAACCUAGGAUUGUACAAAUUGGUACUGAACCUUGAACACGAUUGUGUAAAAGUAAGACCAAGAUUGGUUUUUUUGAAUUCAGGGUUUUGAGUAAUGGAUUUUGAAUUGAGUACCCAAGUUAGAUUAUGGUUUAUGGGUUUUGGAUUUGAUGAUUUUAUGUAAUGAUCGAUAAUGGUGGUGGGGUUUGAUGAAGAUUUGAAAGGAUUUGGGGAGAGAGUGGAAUAGGAGGAGUGAGUGAAGUGGUCUGGGAUUUUAGGGUUUUGGAGGUUUUGGGCGGCGAGGUAGGUGGAGGAUGCAGACAAGGAUGAAUGAUGAUGAUGAUAGAGUCGUGAAAGCUUGGAGCUGAAUCUGCGUGUGAUCAUGGCGGCCAUUUUUGUUGAACCAGAAACUGAAGAGGGAGGGAGAGAGGGAGGGAGAGAGGGAGCGAUUUUUCCUUCUAGGCGGGCGUUUACCUACCUCUCCUGCGCAUAUAUAGGCGCGGGCCUCGGGCACGAGCCGAAAUGUAGAGGUUUGGCCCAAAAUAAAUUUCAAUCGGACCACGGUUUAAACCCAGCAAAGGAUUAUCAGAUUGUUGGGGAACAUUGCUUGUUGCAUUAAUUUGAUUUAAGAAAACACGCUUGUUGGUGAUGGAUGUACAUAUCAAAAGAGUAAGACAAAAGAACAAGACUUGGAAGUGCCCAAGAACUAGAUGGUGGAACCAAUUGGUUCCUGAUUCCUCACCAAUUGCAUAAUCUCUGUUUAGUCAUAUACACCUAAACCAUUAUGCAAAUAGUCUAUGUAUCAAAAGAUAGUCACAAUCCAUUCGGAAAAACUUAUCUCACAUAAACCCAAAAUCACUAGUUUCAACAAUGAUCAAAAUCAGAAUAGCAAGCACAAUAUUUUUGCAUUCAAUUUGAUCCUAACUAGUUCAAUAUCUAGUUCAAUAUCCAUCGAGCAAGAUCGACCAAAUUUUGAUAAUGUCUAGAUAUAUAUCACAACAACAUGUCUUGAUUAAAACGAGAUAAUCAAGACCACUAUUUGUUCUGGAGAACUCAAAGUUCAUCUUCCUCCCUAUUUGUGAUUUCAGGGGAAGCAAAGUUAUACCAGGAGAGAGCGUGGCUAAUCAACAUCGCUUGUUGGUGAUGGAUGUACAUAUCAAAAGAGUAAGACAAAAGAACAAGACUUGGAAGUGCCCAAGAACUAGAUGGUGGAAUCUAAAAGAAGAAAAACAAGCCAUUUUCAAAGAGAAGGUAAUCACCCAAUGUGUGUGGGAUAGAGAGGGGGAAGCUAGCCAAAUGUGGGAUUCCAUGGCUAGUUGUAUUCGAAAAGUAGCAAAAGAGGUAUUAGGAGAGUCCAAGGGCUUUGCCCCACACCAAAAGGAAUCUUGGUGGUGGAAUGAGGAGGUACAAACAAAGGUGAAGGCUAAGAAGGAAUGUUGUAAAGCCUUAUACAAGGAGAGGACCGAUGAAAAUGGUGAAAGGUAUAGAAAAGCGAAGCAAGAGGCGAAGAAAGCUGUCAGAGAAGCUAAGUUAGCGGCUUACGACGAUAUGUAUAAACGACUAGAUACCAAAGAAGGAGAGUUGAAUAUCUAUAAACUAGCUAGAGCAAGGGAAAAGAAGACAAGGGACCUAAACCAAGUGAGGUGCAUCAAGGAUGAGGAUGGAAAGGUUCUUGCUACACAGAGAACGCGGUUAAAGACAGAUGGAGAGGUUAUUUUCAUAAUCUUUUCAAUGAAGGACAUGAAAGGAGUGCUUCUUUAGGGGAGUUGAGUAACUCAGAAGAGUGUAGAAACUACUCCUUUUAUCGUCGAAUCCGGAAGGAAGAAGUGGUUGUAGCUUUGAAAGAAGAUGAAGCAUAGAAAAGCAAUAGGCCCAGACGAUAUACCAAUCGAAGUGUGGAAAGUUUUGGGAGAGACAGGUAUAACAUGGCUCACUGACCUUUUCAAUAGGAUUUUGAAAAACGAAGAAGAUGCCAAAUGAGUGGCGAACGAGCACUUUGGUGCCUAUCUACAAGAAUAAGGGCGACGUACAAAAUUGCAUGAACUAUAGGGGUAUUAAGCUAAUGAGUCAUACAAUGAAGCUCUGGGAGAGAGUCAUUGAGCAUAGAUUGAGGCAAGAGACACGGGUUUCGGACAACCAAUUCGGGUUCAUGCCAGGGCGCUCAACCAUGGAGGCAAUCUAUCUCUUACGAAGAUUGAUGGAAAGAUAUAGAGAUGGGAAAAAGGAUUUACACAUGGUCUUUAUAGAUUUGGAAAAAGCGUAUGAUAGGGUCCCAAGAGACAUUCUUUGGAGGAUUUUAGAGAAGAAAGGAGUACGAGUAGCAUAUAUCCAAGCUAUAAAAGGAUAUGUAUGAAGGAGCAAAGACUGCCGUAAGAACUCAUGAAUGACAAACCGAAAGCUUUCCCAUAACUGUAGGAUUACAUCAAGGCUCAUCCUUAAGUCCUUACCUUUUUGCGUUGGUAAUGGAUGAGUUAACAGGACAUAUUCAAGAUGAUAUUCCUUGGUGUAUGCUUUUCGCAGACGAUAUAGUGUUGAUAGAUGAAACUCAGGAAGGGGUAAAUGCAAAGCUUAACCUUUGGAGAGAAGUGUUGGAAUCUAAAGGUCUUCGCCUAAGCCGAUCAAAGACAGAAUAUAUGGAGUGCAAGUUCAGUGCAAAUGGAGGCCAAAACGAGUUAGGGGUGAGGAUCGGAGAUCAAGAAAUACCAAAGAGCGACCGUUUUCGUUACCUAGGAUCUAUCUUGCAAAAGAACGGAGAAUUAGAUGGAGAUCUCAACCAUAGAAUACAAGCUGGAUGGAUGAAGUGGAAGAGUGCAUCCGGCGUGUUGUGUGACCGCCGUAUGCCCACUGAAGCUCAAGGGAAAAUUUUAUAGGACGGCAAUAAGGCCGGCGAUGCUGUAUGGCACAGAAUGUUGGGCGGUGAAACAUCAACACGUACACAAAAUGGGUGUAGCGGAGAUGAGGAUGCUUCGUUGGAUGUGUGGGCACACGAGAAAGGAUAAGAUUAGGAAUGAGGAUAUCCGGGGUAAAGUAGGAGUAGCCGAAAAUUGAAGGAAAGAUGAGAGAAAAUCGGUUACGGUGGUUUGGACAUGUGCAAAGAAGGCCUACUGACGCUCCGAUUAGAAGAUGCGACUAUGGGACAGAGGUUCAGGGCCGAAGGGGUAGAGGAAGACCUAGGAAAACUAUGGAAGAGACUCUAAGAAAAGACUUAGAGUACUUGGAUCUAACGAAGGACAUGACACAGGAUCGAGCACAAUGGCGUUCUAAGAUUCAUAUAGCGGAUCCCACUCAGUGACUUGGAUUUUCCAAGUCUCCAACCAAGAAGUUUUCCUCACUCGGGAAAUUAAGGGAACACUACCCCAACCUACAUGCUUCACUCAAAAAGCUUCAACAUACAAGCUUCAACAAAAGAAAAUUCAAAGAACUUAGCGAAGAAGGUUUUGGUGUAUUUAACACAAUACGUUGAAAUGAAGGAAAGCUUAUUUAUUGAUAUCCCCGAUAAGCUACAAAUAUGUACAUAUACAUGAGUCAAAAUAAACACACAAGAGGGAGCCUUCACAAAGGUUGCUUAGGAGAAGUCUCAGCAGUCGGUAAAGCCCCAGAAAGAGAAGGCACCGGAGGGGGAUCAUUUGGAGCCUCAGUACUGGAUAGAACCCUAGAAGGAGGAGGCAUCAGAUGUUGAUCAUUUGGAGCUUCAUUACGCGGUACAGCCCUAGAAGACGAAGGCAAUAAAUGCCUUUGGAACAAACCCACAAAUCUCUGAUGAUCAAGUAAAACCUGACCAUCAGUUUCCUUCAUCUGGUCAAGCUUCCUCUUCAUGUUUGUAGCAUAGUCAUGUGCGAGCCGGUGCAACUGUUUAUUCUCAUGCUUGAGCCCUCUAAUCUCCUGUUUGAGACUCAUCACUUCAGCCGCCAAUGAUUCAACUUGGCGGGUUCGAGCAAAUAGGCGUUGGGCCAUAUUAGACACAGAACCUGCACACUGAACACUGAGAGCCAGCGAAUCCUUAACAGCUAACUCAUCAGACCGUUUGGAAAGUAGUCUGUUAUCUUUGGGAGUGAGAAGGUUCCUGGCCACCACCGCAGCGGUCAUAUCAUUCUUCAUCACGGAAUCCCCAACGGUAAGAGGACCAGUUGGGGAGACGAAGGAUGGGCGCCAUAUGUUGUCUGGAGAAGGCGGGGCUGCCUCUUCAACAAGGUUCAAGUCAAAACGACGGUCGGAGGGGCCAGACAUUUUCAAAGGUGUUGAAGAGAGAAGAGGUCGGACAAAUCAAGAUCUUAGAAGUGCAAGAAUGAAGCUUCUACUGGUGGAGAUUCAAGUGUGCUUUGGAACUUAAUGCCAGCCUCUAUAAAAAAUCUGCACUCGACGGAGCUUCAAAAAUCAAAGAGGCGCCUGCUCAGAAAUCGAAGAAGGCGUUUGCUUUCUCAAAAGUUGGGCUGCUUAGAGAUCACGAGGGUUGAUCUCAGAAAUCGAAGAGUCGUUUGCUUUCUCAAAAGUUGGGCUGCUCAAAGACCACGAAGGCCGAUCUCAGAAAUCGAAGAGGCGCUCGCUUUCUCAAAAGCUGGGCUCCCUAGAGACCACAAGGGCCGAUCUCAGAAAUCGAAGAGGCACCUACUUUUCCAGCCUUGUCAGCACCUGUCACACGCACACUCAGCUUUGCGGAAAUUAUGGGCAUUCUGUCAAAGACUUCUGGGGAAGUAGAAAACACAUGAAUCUUACUGUUCAAUCACCCACUUCCCACACGCAACAAUAGCUCAUGGGUACCACAGAUAACUUUGCCAAAGUUGAGCACGUGAAGCUUGCAGCUCCCACUACAUCGCUCUGACCAAGAAGGGUAAAAGAAUAGCAAAGAAACAGCACUAACAAAGUUUAGACCCAUAAAUUUUGAAGGUCUAGCUACCAUAUUAUUACCCACAAGGGUAAAGGAACAGUACCACUGCUGGAUAAUUGGAAAGUCCAUGUAUGUCAACCUCUGUGCUUCGUGGCAAGGUAGACUAGCAAACAUGCCCAACCUUUACUCACAUUCGAGAAAACACUCCCAAUAAGAUUGCUUGCUCCAAAAUCGAAGAGGCACCGUCCUCCGAAUCUAAAGAGCCAGACUCCCAACAUGACUACUUUCUUAAAAAUCGAAGAGAGGGUAAAGGAACAGUACCAUUGCUGGAUAAUUGGAAAGUCCCUGUGUGUCAACCUCUGUGCUUCGUGGCAAGGUAGACUAGCAAACAUGCCCAACCUUUACUCACAUUCGAGAAAACACUCCCAACAAGAUUGCUUGCUCCAAAAUCGAAGAGGCACCGCCCUCCGAAUCUCGAGAGCCACUCUCCCAACAUGAUUACUUUCUCAAAAAUCGAAGAGACACUGCUCCCCGAAUCUCGAGAGCCAGACCCCCAGCAUGAUUGCUUUCUCAAAAAUCGGUGAGGCACCGUUCUCCGAAUCAAUCGAAGAGGCGCUCGCUUUCUCAAAAGCUGGGCUGCUCAGAGACCACGAGGGCCGAUCUCAGAAAUCGAAGAGGCACCUACUUUUCUAGCCUUGUCAGCACCUGUCACACGCACACUCAGUUUUGCAGAAAUUAUGGGCAUUUUGUCGAAGACUUCUGGUGAAGUAGAAAGCACAUGAAUCUUACUGUUCAAUCACCCACUUCCCACACGCAACAAUAACUCAUGGGUACCACAGAUCACUUUGCCAAAGUUCUCUGCCAAAGUUGAGCACGUGAAGCUUGCAGCUCCCACUACAUCGCUCUGACCAAGAAAGGUAAAAGAAUAGCAAAUAAACAGCACUAACAAAGUUUAGACACAUAAAUUUUGAAGGUCUAGCUACCAUAUUAUUACCCACAAGGGUAAAGGAACAGUACCACUGCUGGAUAAUUGGAAAGUCCCUGUGUGUCAACCUCUGUGCUUCGUGGCAAGGUAGACUAGCAAACAUGCCCAACCUUUACUCACAUUCGAGAAAACAGUCCCAACAAGAUUGCUUGCUCCAAAAUCGAAGAGGCACCGUCCUUCGAAUCUCGAGAGCCAGACUCCCAACAUGACUACUUUCUCAAAAUCGAAGAGAGGGUAAAGGAACAGUACCAUUGCUGGAUAAUUGGAAAGUCCCUGUGUGUCAACCUUUGUGCUUCGUGGCAAGGUAGACUAGCAAACAUGUCCAACCUUUACUCACAUUCGAGACAACACUCCCAACAAGAUUGCUUGCUCCAAAAUCGAAGAGGCACCGCCUUCCGAAUCUCGAGAGCCAGACUCCCAACAUGAUUACUUCCUCAAAAAUCGAAGACACUGCUCUCCGAAUCUCGAGAGUCAGACCCCCAGCAUGAUUGCUUUCUCAAAAAUCGAAGAGGCAUCGUUCUCCGAAUCUCGAGAGAGCCAGAUACCACAGACCACUUUUUUCAAAGUGCUCUGACAGAGUUAAAAACAUGUGAAACUGGCAGCUCCCACUACCGUGCUAUGACCAAGCAGGGUAAAGGAAUAGCAUUACUACUUGUUGUUAGGGAGACUCCUAUAUAUGUCGACCUCCAUCCCCAACGGACAGGCAGACCUGCAAAAAUGCUCAACCCUUCAUCAUAUCUGAGAGGGCACUCCCAACAAAGCCUUUCGAAAUAUUCAGCUUUCUUUCCCCCCGAUAAUACCUCUGCAAACAAGCUAUACUAGAGCAAGAAUAUCUCAUAUCAUCAGGGUUAAAAGCAAGAGUAUCCCAUAUCAUGCUUUUUCCCUGUUUUUUCUUUUGGCCUUGUUUUUUACCUGCAAGACAAGGAGAAAGAGAGCAAUCAGUCAGCACUUGGAAUCAAGCUUCCAGUCAGGAACUGACUGCCUGGAACCCCUUACCUGAUUACUUACCUGGCAUUGCUCUCGAGUACUCAUCUUCAUCAUCUUAUGUUUCCAGGGAAGAUUCCGCAUCUGCUUGAGGAACAGAUAGGGCAAGUGCGAAGGAUACAAGGAAGCAUGUGGAGACAAGCGUAACAGCACACGUGCCGAUACAUCCAUUACUCUGUCAAAAGCAAAAGUAUCCCAUAUCAGCAGGGUGGAACGUACUCUAGAUUUUGAUGGACUUGUUUUGACCCUCAAAUUCUUCAGUCGGCCUUAUACUCUGGAGGAAACCAGAAAACCCUCCAGCUCAGUUCAAGAAUAAGCCUGUGGAAAGUUACUUCUUCAAAAGCAAAAGUAUCUCAUAUCAUCUCUUCUCAUUUUUUCUUCUCUUUAUCCUUCAUGCUGCUGCAAGAUGGGGAGAAGGUGAACAAUCAGUCGGAGCUCUGAUUGCUUACCUUGUCUGUCACCUCUUUCAGCAGACCCCCUAGCUCGGCGACUUGGGGGACUCCUACUACAUGGUUUGUAUCGCGCUUGACCAAGCCUGAAACUACAAGUAAGCUUCAAGUGAAAUUGAUACAUUACCUUGUGCAUCUCCACCAGUUAACGAUACCACCCCUGGAUGGAGGAAGAGUACUUCCAGAGAAGAUGCCACAUCUACCUAUGAGACAGAUAAGGCAAGUCAAGACGACACCACACUCCGAUACUUAGAAGUUUCGUGAUUACGAGAUCAUUCUCCCACAAAUAUUUCCUAAUGUCAUUUGUACUAAAUCAUUCACUCGUACUCACUAAAGGAGAGCUUGAACCUAUGUACUUGUGUAAACCCUUCACAAUUAAUGAGAACUCUUCUAUUCCGUGGACGUAGCCAAUCUGGGUGAACCACGUACAUCUUGUGUUUGCUUUCCUAUCUCUAUCCAUUUAUAUACUUAUCCACACUAAUGACCGGAGCAAUCUAGCGAAGAUCACAAAAAGCGACCGUUUUCGUUCGUUACCUAGGAUCUAUCUUGCAAGAGAACGGAGAAUUAGAUGGAGAUCUCAACCAUAGAAUACGAGCUGGAUGGAAAGAGUACAUCCGGCGUGUUUGUGUGACCGUCGUAGGCCACUGAAGCUCAAGGGAAAAUUUUAUAGGACGGCAAUAAGGCCAGCGAUGUUGUAUGGCAGAGAAUGUUGGGUGGUGAAGCAUCAACACGUACACAAAAUGGGUGUAGCGGAGAUGAGGAUGCUUCGUGGGAUGUGUGGGCACACGAGAAAGGAUAAGAUUGGGAAUGAGGAUAUCCGAGGUAAAGUAGGAGUAGCCGAAAUUGUAGGAAAGAUGAGAGAAAAUCGGCUCUGGUGAUUUGGACAUGUGCAAAGAAGGCCGACUGACGCUCCGGUUCGAAGAUGUGACUACGGGACAGAUGUUCAGGGCCGAAGGGGUAGAGGAAGACCUAGGAAAACUUUGGAAGAGACUCUAAGAAAAGACUUAGAGUACUUGGAUCUAACGGAGGGCAUGACACAAAACCGAGCGCAAUGGCGUUCUAGGAUUCAUAUAGCCGACCCCACUUAGUGGGAAAAGGCUUUGUUGUUGUUGUUGUUGACGAUAUUAUAUUCUAAACUACUUUGGUCCAGAAGAGAUUCGAACUCAGAACCCCUCAAGCCCGCAUCAAAUUUCUCGUUGCUCGCUAAUGUAAGAGAAAUUUCAUUGUUUUCUCAAUAAACCCAACAACGCCUCGUCUUCUCCUUCAACUAUGUUAAUCGAUUUCUUCUUGUAAGAAAUCUUACAGUCUUCAAACUCUGCGUUUCAUUAGCAGCUUCGCAUCAAUACGAGCGUUCAGCGAUGAUACAAAAGAAAUUAAGAAAUAUGCACACACAGAUGGUCCAAUUAUGAUCUUAAAGGACCAUCGAAUAGGCCUUAAGCAGGACCUUGAAACACGCGAAAAUUAGGUAACGCAGUACCUUCAGUAAGCAGGAGCAGCAGCUCAAAGCAAACUAUAAAUAAUAUUCUCUAUCUACAAAUUGUCGUAGAUCGUAGAGAGUCAAGAGCACACCGAUAGCAUCUUCUGGAGCUAUAUUGUUCAGCAGAAACUUCAUAUUCGGGAGCAAUUUCGCCUGUAGAAAUCUUCGCCAUUGUAACAAAGAUAACUUUGCGGUCAUCCUUUCUGCUACAUUAUACAUGUUAAACAAUAGAUGCAUUAGAAAGCUCCUUUAAGUGCAGAAAUCAAGAAGAGAUAAUGUUUCGCAGCCACUUGAAUAUGGCAAUAUGCACUUGUGGAUGCACAACCCCCAUCUCUUCUUCUCAUUGAUAGAAAUACGGGUUUCUUGACAAGACAUUUUCGGGAAGCCUCGAACGUUUUAUGUAGGGGAUCUUAAAACCUGCCACACAAGUCACAGGUCAAUUAAAGAUCCUGUACAAGUUGCAGAACAGACCCUAAACCCUUUGUCAAAACAUAUUAGUAGUUGUUGGUUGUAUGGAAAAGCCUCUAAAAUAAAGCUUCUUAGUUCUUCGAGGAACGUAGUUGAGGAGAAUGCAAAUUCAUAGCAUGCAAACAAGUGUAGAACACGUACCUGACAGACAUUGAAUUUCUCCAGUGAUAACAGCGUCUGAAUAUACCGAACCUCUGAAAGCAAAUAUGCCUAAAUGGAGAAGAUAUAGAUAGAAGGUAAGAUACAAUGGCGGGUAAUAAACAUUCUUAUGUAAUUCUUGAUUUUCUCUCAAAUUUGAAAUACCUGGAACGGAGUAUGAGAAUAGUAGGCUUGAAUGUUUCCUCUUGUAUCAUUUUUUAUCAGGGAGCUAGGAUCCUCUUGUCUCCCAACCAUAUGUAAGGGACAUGAGCUAUGGAGCGCCAAUAUCGACCUUUAUCUGGUUUGCAUCUCGCUUCUAGCAGAGGACAAUGACGGAUACUAAGUUGUGUCAGUGGAACAAGCUGGCCCUCAUAUGGAAUGGAUUCUAGCUUGGGACAAGUCCAGAUGUAAAGAGAUUUAAGAGAUGUGAGGAACUGAAAGCCCUUGCUGGACAGGUACCGGAGAUGUGGGAAGUCUUCAACGAUGAGUUUAAUGAGAGAUUUGGGGAGCACCAUCUCCGUAGGUGGAAAGAAGACUAGAUCUGGAUCUUCACCGCUGAUCCACAACUCUCUGAGAGAGGUUAGUCUGUGCAAACCACAUUGGAAGAGUGGCUCGCAACUCUUGAGAUUCAGAAUUUUAAGUGAUAUUAGGUUAGGGGGAAAGCCCUCUCCUAGAAAGGACAUGAAACCAUCACAAUAAGGGAUUCUUAAUAUCUCGAGAGAGUUGAGGUUGUGCAUGCCUUUGGGUAAGGCCUCCAGUUUAUCACAAUUAGUGAUGUCAAUCUCUCUCAAAUUGGAAGCGAUUAUCUCAAAUCCUCCCCGCUGGAACGAAACAAGACUUCUACAACCAUAAAUACUCAACUUCUGAAGAUUGGGAAGGUAGCAAAGGCCUUCUGGUAAAGAUUUAAGAUUUGGGCAAUACCAGAUAUGAAUGUAUUCAAGAUGAGUGUUGUGGUCGAACGUGUCAGUUAUGAACUCCAGUUGUUUACAAGUGUGUAUCUGAAGGUGCUUAAGCGCCUUGGGCAGCUGGAUUCUAGAUGACAAGGACGUCAGAGAUGGACAACUCCAUAUGCUCAAGUAUUCAAGACAAGAUUCCUCAUUUUGUGUCAAACAAGGAGAAGAAGAUGAUGAUGCAGAACCAUCUCUGUCCUCCACUAAUGAUUUCAAAUUUUGGCAUCUGUUUAUCUCUAUUCUUCUUAAACUUGGGGGUAGACGAUAUCUUGCAAAAUGCGUGAGAGAAUCACAACCUCGAAUCUUUAUUUCCUUAAGAGAAGGCGGCAAGUCAACUUCUGGAAAAGAAACUAGGCUUGGCCAUUUGUCAAUGUGAAGUUCUUGAAGUGAUGUCAGGUGAUGCAAUUGAACUAGGUGAGAAUUACCUUCAAUUGUCAAACGGUGAAGAGAAGUAAAGUGUUGCAGUAAUGUAUCCUCACUCUGCAACGACGGUGUCAGCUCUGCACAACCAGUUAUUUCCAAAUCUAGCAACUGAAACUCAACCGCACUCUGAUACACCAAGCCUUUACAACUGUGGACGCACAACGUGCAAAGUUCUCUGUAGUUGGCAACUGAAACCACCAACUGAUCGCAUUCGCGAAUCACAAGAUUUUCUAAUGAAGAAAUGUUGAAGAAAUGUUCUCAGGUAUCGUACCCUCCAAUUUGGGGCAUGCAUCUAUGGAAAGCAUUUUCAGGCAAGGAAACUCUCUAAUUCCCUGAAGUCGUUCGCAAGGAAACCACUCCUUCCAUCGUUGCAUAUUCUGAAACGAAAGGGUCUCUAGUACCGGAAAAGGAAAGUUGCCCUCUCCAUAAAACUCGGAACCCACAUUUUCUACUUCAGACAUUCCUUUUAUAGAAAUCUCUUUCAGAGAAGGCAAUUGUCCAAGUGGUGGCAAGAAUUUGCAGUUACAGCAAUCUUGUAAGCGUACAACUACAAUAUUAGUGAACGAAGGAUUUCCCACCAAAGUAGAAAUCUUCACACCACUAUAUCCCCUGAUGGUGAGUUCCUUGAGAUUUCUAUGAGCUUGUAGCAUGUCAAGAACAUCUGCCUCCAUUUCUCUUGUGCCACUCCCUUCUGACCAUUGUAGUAGCAAGAAAUCAAUCCCUUCCUUGCUAAUUAAGUCAGCCCUCCUUGCAUCUUCAACUUCAGUCACAUUCUCCAAUCUUGAGAGGUGUAAUGUCCCCCGAAGAUGCAAUAGGGGCCCUAUGUCCAUCAACCUUGACGCGCUACCUUUACCCACGGCAAAAUUGGCUAGUGUCUGCAGAUUAGUCAACCGCCCUAGUUGCAGAGGCAUCCCUUUCAGAGAAGGUACAUUUGAAUUGUUGAGAUGACGCAAAUUAAUCAAAUUCCUCAUGUUUAUGGGCAGUACCUCCAAACGUGAACAAUUCUCUAAUAGCAAUACCUGUAAGUUACAAAGUGUGCUUGUUGAUUCAGGUAACCGUGUUAUCAGUGUGUGAGAAACAUCAAGGUAGCGUAGAAACUUCAGUUUACCAAUCGAAUUUGGUAGCUCAGUUAUUUGAUAGCUGUUCAUUGAGAAGACCCGUAAGUAUUGCAAUUUUGGCAAUAAAUCAAGAGUAACCUUACAAGUCACAUAAUUCUGGGGGUUUUCUGAAAGUGUAAACGGUAGGAAAGUCCGCAGGUGUUUAGCCGAGAAAAAGGUGCCAAAUUUUUGAGCCCCAUCAAACUCUCCAGAAAUGUAAGAAGAAUGACGAGCUUUUGGAGUACAUCUGAGCUGUUGCAUGCUCUUAUCCACGUUAUCCUCCAAUCUAAAACAUACUUUUCCUGCAGCCCACCGUGCAAGUUCACUAAUGAGGUCAUGCAUUACAUAUUUUGAAUUGCUUUUGUUCGAUUUCUGAAACAAUGACCUGGAUAAAAGCUCCUGAAAAUACUCUCCACCCAGAUCUUCCAUUUGUCUACCUUCUUCCGAAUGCUGAAUCAAACCCUCUGCCAUCCACAGGAGGAUCAACUGCUUCUCACUAAAUUCGUAGUCAUUGGGAAGUAUUGAGCAAUAGGCAAAGCAUCUUUUAAGGUUUGAAGGGAGAGAGUGAUAGCUCAAUUUCAGUACUGGGAGAAUGCCACUCUUAUCUGAUAGACUCCAUAUUUUGCUGUCUAAUAUUCCUUGCCAUUCGCCCAUUCCUUUACACCGUAAAAGUCCACCAAGAGUUCUCGCAGCCAGAGGCAAUCCAUUGCAUUUUGCAAGGAUUUUCUCCCGAAGUAACUCAAAAUUGCGCGGUCUGCCAUUGUUAAUGUCCAAGAAUGAAUGCUGUUCAAACACUUGCCAGCAAUCAUCAUUUGAUAUAUAAUUCAAAUUAUGAACUUGAAUGGCUCCCAUAAUUUUCGCAACUGUUUCAUGACGUGUUGUCACAAGCACCUUGCUUCCCAGUGCUCCAACCCGAAAUGGGGACUGCAACUUCGUCCACAUAUCAUAGUCACAUGUGCUCCAAACAUCGUCCAAGACAAUCAGAAACUUCUUACCAGCUAAUUCCUUACUCAGAUUGUCCUGAACUUUACUGAACUCCUUCAACUUACAGUGCUCGGAUGUGAUCGAUUCAAGAAUUGCCUUUGUCACUCUUACGAUGUUGAAGUCAUCCGACACAUACACCCAUACCUUAAGAUCGAACUGUUCCAUGGCAUCAUCGUUGAAUACAUGUCCUGCAAGUGUUGUCUUUCCGAUCCCCGCCAUGCCAAGAAUGGAAACUACAUGAAAGUUGCUGGUACAAGGCUCGGAUAUUGACAGCAACUCGACCAUCUUCAUUUUGUCUUCAUCCCUUCCGAUAACAGGUCCAUCUGGUUGACAAGAACUGGGAGGCACUCUAUAUGCCUUAGUAGUGUAUGCCGAAGUUCCAGUAUCGUUCAAGCGAAGCUGGUCCUUCCGUUCAGAUAUCUCUACCAGUCUAUCCGUAAUCUCCUUCAUUUUCAUGUUCAUACAAAAGUUGAAUUUAGCUUUAGGAAUUAGGCUCCGUACCUUGCUCGCUCGAGUUCCAUGUCGCUGCUUGACCUUGCGUCGUAACGUCUGAAUGGAGAAUCUGUCCAAUAUGUCUUCCACAUCAUAAGCCAGGUCUUUGAGAUCAUCCAGCCACAGUCUGAUUGCCUCACUUGUGAGCUGUUUCUCUUCCGCAUCAUACAGCACAGCUCCAAUUGCAGACAGUAUUGCACUCCAUUUCUUCAGUUUCCUAUCGACAAUCCGUAGGCGACCGAAGUUGAGGAUACCGCGGGGCGUCAACCUGUCGAGCAGCACCUGCAGAAAUGCCCCAAGAAAUAAUUCUCCAGCUACCAUUGUUUGUUUUGUUGAAUGAAGCUGCCAAAACUAUCUCUCAAGCUAUCAAUAACAAGACUUGGUAGUUGGUACGCCACAAAGUCAAAGUCCCCCUUUGCAGCACAUGGACAAUGCACUCACAGAGGAAAUUAUCGAACGACUACGUUUAAAUUUGAGAAUUGUUACAAACAAUCUAAAAUAUUUUCCCACAAAAAAAAAAAUAAAUAAACAGGGCUUAGGAUAAAACAAAGAACAAUACUCAGUUACUCAAAGAUGAGUAGAAAUUUUUACCUACUUAAAAUUUCUCAAAAUUGUUUGUUGUCAAUUUAUAGAACUUUGUGUUUAUUAUCAGAAUUGUUCUAUUAUAUAAAUCACUAUAUAAAGAUGGCUUUUGCUAAAAAUCAAUUAAAACUAAGGUCGUUUAGUCAUGAAACUAUUUAAAAAUAAAUUAACAGUAUUGGUAAAAGCAUUAGGAACCGUCUAUGUAUUUACUACAAUAGAGUGACUAAACGACCUUAAUUUUAAUUUAAUUUUUGCAAAGAUAAUCUUUACAAUGUGAUUCAUAAUAUGAACGAUUCUGAUCGUAAUCACAAAGCUCCACGAUUAAAACACUAAGAAUUUUGACUUUUUGAGUGAGAAUUCCUACUCUAACAGGAAGCUGCUACCGCUAAAUGUACAACAUACAACACUAUACAAGGCAAUUAAUAUCUCUUUUUUUCCAUUUUCUCUUUUUUUUUAUCAAAAUAUAAAUGUUACGAAACAGAUUAACAAAGUUAAUAUCCUUCAAAAAAUAAACCAUUAAUCUGUCCGUCUAUACACAAAUUUGAACCUAAACAGUAACAUCUCCGUCAGAAAACACUUGAUGAGCUGACUACUACUCUUAUCUCCAAAAAUGUUUUCCAUCGCUUUAUGAUCCCAUGCCAUAAUUAACUCCCUUUCAUCUCCAACCCAAAGAAUAAAGCCAAAAUUUUCGAGUGGGGAAGCCUUCGCCUUCACUUCUUCCGCCUCCAUGUAAAAAUGUUCUCGACCAUAUACAAAAAGAAUAUACCCCAAUUUAUUGGAAUUCCGAGGACCACGAGCAUUUCAUGUCGGGCAUACCGCAGAAGGUAACGUCAUAUUCGGGACUUGUUUCCGUCUGGCUUAGGUUCUGUUCGAACAUAGGUUAAGACUGCGAGCUGUUGGUGAAGGAACAGCAGUGGCAGUGACUGGAGCACCCAUCUCACCUGGAUUGGCCUGAGUAUCACGCUUCCACUGCAUGCUCCUGGCACCAGGUUUGAUUAGGGGGCGAGGCCUAUAUGCACCAGACAUGCCUCUCUGGAAUGGGGACCAACCAAACCUGGCAGUGGCAAAUGGAGUGCCCCGGGCAACCCUUGGCCACGUCAUGCCCGGAGCUGCUUCUUGAUGUGCAGCUCCCCUCUUUACAACCUGCAAUAGGAUAAUGACACGGGUAAAGAUUUCACUCCUACAUUUAAACACCAUAAAUUACAAAUGCAAAAUGUAAGGAUUCAUGAUCAGUGUUAAUAUCGUCUAAUGGCUGACGAAUCAAAUCCCAAAAUGCAAUGACACAUACAAAUCCUUACGGCAAAGAUUUACCAUGAAAAAUCAUAUGUUAAGAAGGAAGCUAAAUAGAGUUCUGUUCUCCAAAGACCUCACAAUAGCAAAAAGUCAUCACUAGUUCUAGUUACUACAAAUGUUUACCUUGAGGAUCCUUGACAUGAAAGAGGUUCCGUCCAGAGAUAAUGCAUUGUCUGCGGCCUCCCUCCGUGUGAACUCUACGUAAGCUGACCUGCUCAAGUAAAGUUAUUUAGUAAAGACUAACUAAGGAAUAUAUAUUGUCCUCGUAUAAAAGGAAGGACUAGGCCAAGAGCUAAGAAGAAUUAUGAUGAGACAUCUUACCCUUUAGGCUGCCCAGUUGCUGCAUCAGUAACUAUCACUACUUUUAGCACUUCCCCAAACUUGUUGAAAUGUCGAGAAAGACUAUCUUUUGUAGCAGCAAAGUGGACCUGUGCAUUCAUGAAAAAAUAUAACUAAAACUGAAAUUGCACAAAACCGAGACAAAACCUCAAACAUUGAACAACAAGAAGGAAGGUAUUACAUUGUUAACAAAGAUAGUUCGACAAUCUGCAUCCUCCAAUGGGCGUCCACUGGCAUAUAGACCUGCACGAUAUUCCAUAAUAAAAAAAUUAAUAAAGAUGCAUAUUUGGAUACUACUCGAAUGACGGAGAUCCAACACCAGAAAGAGAAUCAAUUAUUUGACUAACUAAUAAAAAGUAGGGACUUGACUUCUCUCAUCUCUAAAUGGAGGUAAGCAGUAAUAAUGUGGAAAAAAAAAAAAAAAAAAAAAGAGAGGAUUAUUUUAGAAGUUUCAAAACUCACCAGCAGAAGAGGAAAGCAUCUUAGGAGAAUCUGCAGCAGGUGUUACCUGAUAUCAUAAAAAGACAUUCAAUAACAGUCUCUAAGUGCAAUGAAAUAUCAAGUGAAUUUAAUGUACAAGUGAUGAUAGAGGAGAGGAAGGUUUGGGAGUGUGCGUGCAUCUUACAUUUCCAUUACUUGCUCCAACAGGAUUGCCGUUCUCCUUCAUCACAUGCAAACCAGAUUUGGCAACCCCUGCCUCACUAUUCUGUAGGGAUUUCCAAUCAUCACCAGCAACUUCUCUUGGCUCCUGAUAAUGGGGUGCUUUCCAAGUAUUGACAUUCACAGAUAUAUUCACAAUCUUAUGAGAAGAAUUCGCAGCUGCAAAAGAUUGACCGUGAUCUUUAUUCCUGGAUAGCUGCAUAACAUCAUCAACAUUCUUCGCCACAUUGUAACGCGCCAUUAGUAAAUUUUCAGCCUUGCUUCCACCAGAUGUCCCAGUUUGAGAAACAUCAGUAACUAUACGACCCAUAACAUUAACAUCAUCAAACCCUUCAUUGUCCGAUACAAAAUCAGAAGCCAAACCAGUUUCACUUUCUAACAUAGCAUUCCCUACAUACUGUCCACUGUAUUCACUUCUAGCCGGAUAUGACGAUCGUUUUUGUUCAUUAAGUUGGACGACAUCUUCAAAUUCAACAUCCUCGGUAGCAGCAUCUCUGGAUGGUGCAAGAGGCACACUGGUCUCAGAAAACUCCAUACCACGACCUAGUCGGUCAAACACACUCCUUGAAGGUUUAACUCUUGUUACAUCUUCAGCAGCUUCUGCAACAGCUUUCAUUACAGUUGACAUGGGAUUUGGCACCCUGGCGACAGACUGAAUCCGUCGAGGACGAUCAACCAAUGAUGAGUCAACAGUGGGUUUAGAUACCACAGAACGAAGACGCUUCAACGUGGGCUGAGUUGCUGAAUUGGAUUGCCUUGAGGUCGUUAAUGCAUCACGCAUAGCAAAUUGGAGUAGCCGUCGAGGGGCAUCAAUAGUCACUUCAGAAACUGGUUCCCUCUGUCAAGAAGAGGAUAAUCGAGUGAGAAAGUUGAAUAAUUGUUAUCAAAGUGCAUACACUCUAUACGAAAUAAGUCUCCAAAAUGAUCUUUCUUAAAUUGCAUACUCAAUCAACCCUUGCAAUAAGCAUAAAAUACAAUGUUUUGGGGGUGGGGAUAUUCUUUGUGUGGAGAGAAGAAGCAAAGGAGGAUUGCUAGAGCGUGACAAAAGAAACAAUAUGGACAUUUAAAACCAUUAAUAUGUCCAAAGGCAGGUUAUAGCCUAUAGGCACCCACGCAAGCACAUGAAAACAAAUUCAUAAAACAUUAUCAAUAAUGGACCACUGAUAGAUUGAAUAAUACUGAACAAGACCAAGUACUUGAACAAAUCUUUCAAUUUCAAAAGUUAUUAGUAUGAAAAGGAAAAGUCCUGAAUACAGAAAGGAUAGUUCCAAUACUGUAUAAGUGCCUUGAAUUCUGUAGUAUAGCAGUCCACACCACAGUUCAGGAUAAAAGAAGUUAUUUAUAUCUAUUUAACAGAGACAAAAAAGAUUUGCCUAUUCCACACAACUUCAAAAUGGAUAAUUAUCACAUGAAUCAAUAUGCCCCAAUACAGCAGCAAGAUCCAUGUUCAAAUUAUUAGAAUCAAAUUCAAGUACCCCCUGCUCAAUAUCAUAAAAGAAAGAAAGAAAAAAACACAAAAUCAAACCUCUGUAUUGUGUCGCUCAUCAGGCCGAAUCCUUUUCCUUUGAGCUGCAGGUUGACGCGAAGGAGACUUCGCAUCACUGACUUUGCUACGACUUUUUUCUUCUACAUGAAUAUCUCCGAUCUCAGAGCUUCGAAAAGGAGGGGGCUCAGCUGCAUCCCUUGUUAGCCCUUUCCAUUCUCUAGUGUGCCGGCUUUUAGUUGACUUAUUAGACUUCUCCCUUUCUGGCUCAGAACCCAAAUGAUACAAAUCACUUUUUCCUGUAAGGUCACCUGAUGUGGUUUUUCUUUUACUCACAUCUUCCACCUCAGGAUCCUCUGAUUGUAGAUGCAAAUCCGAAUUUGAAGCCAGAUGACCCCACAACCUAGUGAAAAAAAAAACUUAAAACAAAAUUUUAGAAUGUUGCCCACAAUAAAUAUGUAUGUUCCAAACUAAACAACCAUUAUAUGUGAAAUAACAUUGCUCAUAACGAGGGAAAAUAAUCAAUUACCAAGAAACAAAAGAAUCACUGUCAUCCCCCAAAAACACGUUCAGCUCAUUCUUUGCUUCUUCUUUGCCCCUGCCAUUCUUUAGAAGGACAAUAACGUAUUCCUGCAAGGAAAUUAGAAAACUUAGCGAGAGUUCUAGUGCCAUUACUUUUUUCUGUGGAUAUAUUUACAAAAAGACAAAAAAACCAGGGGUUGAACCCAAGCAGACAAUUGAACACAAAUUUAAAUGAAGAAGAAGAGAAGAAAACGUCCUCAUAUAUGUUUCAGCUUUCAUCUCAUGCAUAUUAAACUACACUGACAGAUAUAUGAAGGGCACAGAAAAAAAUUCUAAGGUUAUAGAUGGCAAGCAUGGAGUACAAUCUAGUUCAAAUUACUUCAUAAGCUUGACUAAUUAGACAUCCGAUGGGGAGGAGAGGGGAAAGAGAAAUGUUUAGAAUCAAAUAAUCCCAAUGGACCAAUUUCAGCCACUAGAGCAUGGGUUCACAUAAUCAGGACUGUAACAAGAUGACAAGAACUCUAGGAUAUCACUAAAAUUUAAUAGUAAGCAUAUAGCAACUCUCUUCGAAUGGCAUCACUUCAACAAAAUUUUGAUCACUCAUACCCUAAGGGAGAGAGAGAAAGAGAGAACCUUCUUUUUACCUAUACAACCUAUUACUAGAAAAAGAAGAAAGAAAAAAACAGUUCUUACUAACUAGGACUGGUAACUAAAACCAUUAAUUAUCAGAGAUAUGUUUCAGAAGUUACGGUAUUGCUCGAAAGAUGGAACUGGAUAAAACAUAAUGGCUAUGCAUCAUUUGGAACUAAAUAAAUGUAAAAUUAAACCACAGAGUGCCAACUAUAUAUCUGUAGACCAAACAAAAAUAUAAUAAUGUUAUAUGUCACUUGGUCAUUUAACACAAAGAUAUUGAUAUCAUAUUCCCUAAGAAAUAUGGAGCCCAAGAAACAACCCACAUAUGAACAAGACUGUAAUCUCAGGAAAGACAGAACCACACACUUAAUAUGACGGUUUGCUUAUAAUAACAAUAACAUCUGAAAAAGAAUGAUACUGGUACUUCAAGAUAUUCCAAUUUGUGUAUUUAAAUUUCAUGGUUGUAUUGCUUCUCUAAGGUUAAAAAUAAGGACCAUGAUAAGAUCGGAAAGCAAUCUCAAAGUGUCCAGUGAAAGUCCAAGAUGUACUGAGCUAACACUGCAUUUAAAUUUUCUUUUAUGGACACCUUAAAUAGCCAUGUCCUUUCAGCUUCAAAAGCAUGCUCAAACUUUAUGCUUCCUUGCCUAAUACUAAGAAGAAGUAGCUCAAUAUGAAAACCCACAAAUACACCCCUACAAAAUUAAAAGUCUAUAUGUAACCGUUCAAAUUCUGUUUAAAGCUUGUGGCACACAUACAUACAUAUGUCAGGAUAUACACAACAAAGGACCCAAUGUAACCCCCCCCCCGCCUGUUUCCUUUUUGUUUCAUUAGUUUAGCAUUCGGCAGCAGUCCACCUGAAUCUGGCAGCUAUUAAGAACAUCACAUUAUAUUUCCUCAUUAAGGAGAAAAUCAGCAUUUGAAAGAUUUGGGGAGGGCAUCAGCAUCUUGUAAGAGGACUUUUCACAUUGGUAUGUUGUCCCUCCCUCUUGAAAGCUUUCCGCCUUUAAAAACUCCCUACACGGACAACCACCUUAAGGAAUCCCAUGCAAAAACCCAAGCACUGCAGUCACAAACUUUGUCAAAAAGACCUGACAGCUCAUAUUUUGAACAAUGGCAUAAACUUGUUAAAACCCCUUAAUAAGGUAUUCGAACUUUCUUUUUUUUCAUAAAAGGUAGCCAACCUGAAGCAAGAGAACUGCAACCAUUCUCUACAUAAUCAUAUCAACUCAAAGAGAGCUCAAAAAUCUAAGCGACGAUUUAAAUGGAAACAAAUUUCCAUGGUUCGGCAUAUCUCCCUGUCCGACCUAUGUUGUCUUACCCUAAACCGAAUGGCAACAUCAACAGUUCAUACCAAUUCAUGGUCACAUCAAAAUAAAUCAAAUCCAAGAUAUCCAAUAGAGUUUCAUGACAGUGAAGACGAAACCAAAUCAAAAUCCCAACCUUAACUCCAUAUAUAAAAUAAGAACCACGAAAACAAUAGGCAAUCACUCCAAUUAAAACAGAAAAUCAAACGGGAAAAAAUUCCCCAAUCAAAGCACUGAAAACUGGCUAAUAAUCAGCAUAAAUUUCAGAACAAUGCGCAAAAGAUUACUAUUAGCCGAAUGAGAGAGUCCGUACCACAAGAGUGUCGUCGGUGUAAUCCCCCAUGAACUCCUUAAGCUUCUCUCUCACACUCUCUCUCAACUUGAUGACUGAAUCGCCCGUCAAAUUAACCCUAAAGGUCCUAUCAUCGACUCGAUCCACGCUCCCCAUCGCCACGAAACCCUAAUUUCGGCCUUAAAGAGCAAACCCUACCGCCCCAAUGCUUCAGAAACCUCCACCAAUCGUAAAACCCUAGCUCGCGUUUUAAAAUAUCCUCGCAGCCGAUCAAAACCCCUCCCCGCCGGAACUCGGGGAUUUCCCCGGAGGGUGACGUAAAUGAUUUCUUAGGAAAUUGGGUUAUAGGGUUUCGUGGAAAAAUCCGCCGGGAGAGAAUUACCGGGAGAAAAAAAAGGAAUCCUUGAUUGUAAAAAGAGAAGGAGAGCGGGGCGUGUCGUACUCGUAUGAUAUCGUCGGGUUUUUUCUCUUUUUUAUUUUUUUGGCUUAUAUUUUGUUUUGUAGCUCUUGUUAAUUUAUACAAAAUCUAAUUUUAUUCCUUACCCUUUAUUUAUUUUUUUUCUUAUUUUUUUAUCAAACGAUUGGUUUUAUUAGAUUAGAUGUUAGAUUAGUCAUCGAAUGGGUUCGAAUCCAUACUGUCAUGCAAAAGCUUAACUCAUUUUCAUCACUGUGAUAAAAUGUCACUUGCUCCCUUUAUUUUAUCUCAAUCAUCAUAUGUGUUCAUUUUUUGAAAUUUUAAUGAGUAACUAUUAAUAUCCAAUUCGUUACCGGUAUCACCACAACCCAUCUCACCACCAUAUUAUAGUGAAAUCAAGUUAUGACUAGUUUGGUAUUACUAUUUUUUCUAAAACUAUUUCUGUUAUGCUGUAAAAACAAACGAAGGUGGAAAGAAAAAAAAAGUAUUUGAUAAAUUGUUAGGUUAGAAGUGCUUUUAGAAAUGAAAAAAAAAAGAGAAACUAGGAUUGUCAAAAAUAGUUUUUUUUAGAAGUAUGGUAGAGCAAAUAUGAAUAGAGUUGUUUCUUCUUUCCGCUCUUUAACACUCAUAAUUUUGAAAUAAAAUACUUUUUCUUUUUAUUUACCAAAAUAAUUUUAGCUCCAAUUUUUUUAAAAGCUGCUUUUUUUUUUAAAUUUAAACAACUCCACCCGUUAACAAAUCGAUAUUAUUCCUACAUGUAUUGGGAUGCUAUAUGAGAAACUGACAAAAUACUGCGCAGCGCACGUAACAUCGAGGGGGAAAAAAAAAACAAAUAAAAAACAAAACAAUAUCGGGCACGUAACUCACUUCCACUUCUUGACGCGAAGGAUUGUCUGCACCCGACUCUAUACAUAUUCCGUGUCUUCGAGAGUCUAAAUGGUCGGAUACUUCUAAUCUCCAGAGGGCAAGAAAUUCCUUUAAUCUUACUGAUUCCCUCCUCCACCAAUCACAACUAGAAACGUAGGUUGACUCACUACACCACGGAAACACCUGAUCAUUGCUUUGGGUCACCCCCUCCACGCUCUCUCAUCGCUUAUAAAGUCGAAGCUGGAACAUAUAUGGCUUCUGCUUCUCCUCCUCACACCUCUCUCUCCCUCUCUCCUGUUCGCUUUAGGGUUCGUCUCUCUCUCUCUUCUCUCUCUCUUCUCUCUCUGUCUAUGUGUGUUUGAUUUUCGAAAUUUUGAUUGUUUGAUUAUUUGAUUAUUGGAUUAUUGAAGGGAAGCGGAUAGGAACCAUCUCUGUGUGAACUGCAGGAGCUACUUUGAAGAGGUUGGUUCCUCUGCGAACAGGUGAGUCGUAGAUUGUUGUUUUUAAUCACUAUUCGCUUCUGGGUUCUGCUUUUUUCGAUGAAUUAUGUUAAGGAUGGCUGAAGAAGCGGAGCAGCUUAUGUAUGUGAUGAAAGAUGUGAAGUUUUCAAAUGAAAAAAAAAUGGUAUUUUGAUCGUGGGUUUUGGGUUCUGAUGGGAGAAUAGACCUUAAUCCCUGGUGUGAGGAUGUUAAGAAUAAGAAAUUAAGGUUUUUUUUAUGCAGAUUUAAAUGAAUAGUUCUCAAAGUUUGAAGCUUGAUGAGUUGGUUUAAUUACUUGUGUGUUUUGCCAUUAGCAAUUGGUUUGAAUUAGCUUGAAGAAGUAGAUUUAAUGGCAUGAUUAGUAUGUUUAUGUAUUAAUAUGAAACUUAAAAAUAAAAAAAAUAAAAAAAAUAAAAAGCCAUGACUCAGUGCCACCGCUAAGACAUCCUUCUACCAUCCUUAUUUUCUUUAACAAUAUACAUGUAUAUAUGUGUAUAUAUACAUAUAGAUAUAGAGAGAUAGUCAUGGAAUCAUGGGAUUUCUAGUAUUCUAAUUGGUCGAAAACGGUGGAACACACUAUUUUAUGAUCAGGUUCAGAUUGGUUAGGUAUCAUCUAGCUAUGUAGUUUUACCUUGUUAUUUGUUUCAAUUGCGUUCUUGAGGUUUUAUGAAAAUCAGUAGUUCCAUCGAGUUUAUAGAAAGACCCUUCGUAUUUUCAUACGGUGUUGAAUUCCCCUUUACCAGGUAAAUUAAAUUUUCUAUGACCGAGAGGGCUACUGUUCUGUCAGUUGUUGUCUUCUGAUACCCCAAAUCCCGCAUACCUUUUGCAGUGGGAAGACAGUGGCUGCUUUAGUAAGGCCUAGGAGUGCAAUAGUUAACUUCAACUAGCACUUUUGGAUGUGCAUUGGGUUGUUGUGACAGUAGACUUGAAUUACUGUUGUCUUCCCCACUCUUGAGCUAAAUAUAUGUGGUUGGUGUUUAUUUUACUGUGUUUACUCUUUAUUACAAGAUCAUUGCAGCCGAAGUCUGUUCAUAUUGUUGUUAUACCGACUGUCACCUUUACAAGGAGGUAAGACAGUGCUUGUUUACAUUAAUCUCAGAUUUACAUUAAUGGAACUCCUCGGACAAAAUGGCAAGACUGCAAAAGCUCAUUCCUUGGUUUUUUAUGGGGGUUGCCCUGUUUAAUGAUUGUAAAAAAAAAAUUGCAGAAUAAGGAAGUAGGCUUAUUUUCUUUUACUUAAAACCUCUGCCUUCCGAGAAUUAUUAUCUUUCGCUAGCCCAUCUUUGUCUUUGUCUCUUUCUAUCGCCAUAUCUCUCAAAUGGCAUUUUUUUCAUAAAUCGCCCUCCCUUUGUAUGAGGUGAAGGGGGAAAUAGAUUGGUGGGAUAAAAACUUCUUCUGUGCCUGGCUUUUAUCACUAGAAAAAUAAAAUAAGAGGAAGUGGCAGUGGCAGUGGCAGUGGCAGUUGACCUCUUAUGGUAUUGCUUUCUUUAAUAAGGUUUGCUAUCCUAUCAAGAAGGAUGAAAUACAUGUUUUACAAGCUGUCAUAUCCGUGCAUUGUUAUAUUUUCAGUUUAACUGAUUGAACACUUGGGCAAAGGAUACUACUCAUAUGGUCACACCCAACGGUGUUAUGCACAUUUUCCCCUAACAGAAAAAGAUAAAAAGUAUAAAGUGAGCUUUCUUCUUUCUCACUGUUUAUUAGGUAUGUCUAGUUAAGUGGAACUCUCCCAAUUAGAUACAAGUUUCAUCUUGAGGCUUCAAAACUAGAAUUGUAAUCAGAGCAUCAAUACUUAUAUCUACUAUCCAACUUAUUGUCAUACAUGAAGCAUACUUCUCUACACUGAGAAUAAAGGGAAGUCCUCACUACUUUUUGUUGGCGAUUUUCCAGUUAAUAUGGUCCUUUUAGUUGGCGAUCUAACAUUCCAUCUUUCUUAUGCUAAGAUUCAAACUACUAUGCUGAUUUUAAUUUAAUGAGUUGAUGGAUGAGUCUGCUUGUUUAUACUGUUGUAAUUGCUUGGCUGUGUAAUAUUGUAGACGUCUGGCAGGGGUAGAUGUCUACCUUGAGCUGUGUUAUUGUAUAUUUUUUGAGAACUUAAGUGAAUUACAAUGCAGGAAAUUCUAAGAAAAUGGAGCACAAUGAGACAGGAUGCCAAGCUCCUCCUGAAGCUCCCAAGCUUUGUGCCAACAACUGUGGAUUCUUUGGAAGUCCAGCAACCAUGAAUCUGUGUUCCAAGUGCCACAAGGACUUGGUGUUGAAGCAAGAACAAGCUAAAGUCGUUGCGGCAUCCAUUGAUAGCGCGGUGAAUGGCAGCCCCUCUGAAAGUGGGAAGGGGCCUGUUGCUACUGCUGCUGUAGAUGUACAAGCUGGCCCCGCAGAUGUGAUGCUUAUCUCAACACAGGCAUCCUCUACUCCAUCUUUGAACAUUAAGAGGGAGGAGAAGGUGAAAGAGACUCCUACCAGGUGCGGCACUUGCAGGAAACGUGUUGGUCUAACUGGGUUCAGUUGCCGAUGUGGAGAUCUCUUUUGUGCAGUUCAUCGGUACUCUGAUAAACACAACUGCCCUCAUGAUUACCGGACUGCUGCUCAGGAUGCAAUAGCCAAAGCCAACCCGGUUGUCAAGGCAGAAAAGCUGGAUAAAAUCUGAUAAAAGUCUUGGAAUUACAAGGUUUAAUCUUUUUAUGUAUUGCACACAUGCUCUCAUUUCUCUACCCAUGUGGCUUCUGCUUCUGUUUAAGUUGAUCUUGUUAUGUCAGGUCUCUUGUGUGUGAUAGAUGGUUGGAAGCUGUUGUGGGCAUUUUCAAAUGUCAGGAACGAUUGUGUGUAAUAAUCCCAGCCGUUCGUGAGGGCCGUGAGGCCGUCACGAGGAUUUGGUACCGAUGGUGUUUUGGACCUUGUUUAUUUUGCUUGUUUGGGAUGUAGUUUAUCAGAUAUAGGAAGGUGCCAAGGUAGGUAGCAUGCUCAAGUAAUUCACGAUAAUGCUCAUAACUAAGGUUUUCCCCAUGUGUUAUUUGGGGUGGGGGAAUUGGAAUCGAACUCGCGACCUCAAGGUGGAAAUUUGAAUGUUUUUAGUGAUAACUGAGUUACAAAUCCUUUGCAGAAUAGAAGCAUUUUAACUUCUGAGUUGGGACCACUUCCAGAAUUUUAUGUUGUAGAAAAUUGGUGGAUCAAAACCACUGGGGUUAGCUGUGGUGAGGAUCGGUAGAGAUGUGUAGGAGUAGGCUAAGUUCACGGUUCGAUACUGCCAAUAUAAUUUUAAAAUGAAAAUUUUGGUAUAUCGGUUCGAUAUUGUCUUAGUAAGGAAGAGAUCCUCUCCGGAUCUUGCACACCUCCCUACCAUCACUCACUUCCCCUCCCCCUCCCAUCCCAAUUCCUGCUGCAUAUUUCCCCACCUUGAACUCCUCCCAUUUUCUUCUUCUUGUUUCUCUGCGGUUCUGUUUCGUCCAUCGCCGUCGGAGAAGAUGGCAAUGACGUUGAGGAGAAAGAAACAGUAAGAAAGUUGAAGAUAAAGAGUGAUCAGAUGGUAGUUUUCCAAAAAAAAUAAAUAAAUAAAUAAAGAGUGAUAAGAAAGUAUGGAUUCAAAGAGGAUCUUGUUUCUAGAUUAUAAGGAAAAUUAAUGAAAAUGGUUUAAAAAAUUUUAGUUUUAACGAUAAAGACCAAAUAAAAAGUAAAGUGAAUAGUAUCAAAAUUGACUUUUUAGUGUAAAAAUAUGAUUUUUCGUUAAAAUGAACAAUACUGAAAGUUUUCUGGAUUAUACGAUGGAAGAUAGAUGGCACAAGGGCCCACACGCCCAUCCCAACCCCUUUUCCCCCACAGGAAAAGCAUGCUCGCUGAAUUCUUUUUUCUGGGGAUCCGAGAAUCUCGUAAUUGUGUCAAUUCAUCGUAUAUCGUACGAUCAAAAUUGAUUUUAAAUUUUAAAUUUUAAAAUUCAAAUAUAAAUAGUACUUAAUAAAAACUGCUCGCAUGAUAUACGAUAAACGGACACAAUCACGAAAUACUCCGGACCCCGAGGAAAAUGACGAGAUACGUCCGCCCCGUCCUUUUCCUCUCCCACUUGGAAUCUACGUCCACCACGUUUGAACCGCGUGGCGGCCAAUCACAGCCGUCGAUCACACCGUGUUUGACAUUCUGAUAACAAGUCACCAUCGAUUGGACCUAGUGAGGUGGUGAGAUCAGCCCACCGGUUGUGCGAUCAAUUAGAAUUAGCAUUAGUUUACUCAUUAAUCAUUACUAUUAGUGCUGCGAGAGAAACAGCUGCGCUAUUUCUAAACCGUGGACCUGAAAGUGACCUUCGUAUUUCCCCAUGAACCUCCUCUUUAUUGGCUUAAGGACCAUAUUUAUAACGUGGACAUAAAAAUUAAAUACAAAUAUUAAAGAGCAUAUUCCAUCGUAUCAUCAAUUUAAGGCAUGUAUACUUCGGAUCCGGAUGAGAAAUAAUAAGUAUGGGAUAAACAUUUCUUUGAUUAUCUUAUACUUUCAUUUUGCAAGUAUGUCGUAUCAAAACUAAUGGGACUCAUCCACUUUUUUUUUCGAUUGUUAAUAAGCGCAUGAUAAUAAUUUCUUGCAAAUUCAUUUUUUGUAAGUAUGCUUUUAAUAGUCUUCUCUUAUCGGUGAAAGUUCUCGUUACGCUCCUGAGAAAAGCACUUAAUGCCUUGGAUUUAGGCUAAUUUAAUGCAAUUCAUACAAGAGCGUUGCUGGAAAACUAUACAAACGUCAAUUUCCGUAUACUGUAAACCAUAGGAGAAUGAAUGAAAUGGUGGAUUGUCUCAUAUCCCAACGUUCCAAAUACGUAAUUGAAGACAUUUCAUCACCAUGACUUGGGGAUAUAUUAGGAGUUUCAUUCUCAAAGAACUUAAUAAUCUAAACAGUUUGUUCUCUUGAGAAUAGACUUGGUGGUUAUGAGAACUUAUGUACUCGAGAUCCUAACAAAUAGUUUGUGUAUAAAAAAAGUGAAAGAUUAUUAGCAUUCUAAAAAUCUCAUUUUAUACUUCUCACCAAUUCUCAAAAUAAUCCAUGAAUAACUUAUACAAAUGCUUGAUGCUUUUUUAAGAAGAAUGAGCAUAAAACCCUUGGUUAUAAUUGUGGGAGCAAAUUCCGUCACACAAUGAAUUGAUGAAAAUUCACACAUAAAGAAAAUAUCUAAACACCAAUGUUAGUCAAAGGGCCUCCAAUACCCAAGUUAGAGAGAUUGUAUGAAAUAACAAGAGUGUGGUGAGAGUUCUUGAUUAUCAUAAUAAAGUGGUUGACCUUGGUUAUUUACAAAUAAUUGAAUAGUUAAUCCUAGCGUCUAGGUUAGUUGAACCUAUAAGCAGAGCAUUACAAAGUUAUCCAACUCUAAGGGAGAGAUGGAUAAGCUUAGUCUCACAACAGGUUAGAAAAAAUAUGAUUCAAAUUCGCUUUUGGCAAGAACCGAACUUAAAAUCUCUUACUUACAAGUAAAAAAAAAUAUCAAUAAGGCGUAAUACUAAGCCACGAAACUAAUAAAGAUUUAACAAGCAAUGUUGAGUACAAAUUAGGACUCAUACCGGUACACGGUUACAAGGAGACACGCCGACACGUGUGCGUCACACGUGUACGCCGGACGAGGACCGAGACCGACUUCUUUCUUUCUGAGAAAACGAAAGGGGUCAGAUAUGGCGGCUUGGCCUCCUAGCAGCUGGACGCGUGAAAUUACCCACCGGGGGUUUCUAUAAUUUCCCCCUUUUCCCAUUUUGCCCUUCCACUUGCAUUCUUCUAGGAUCCAUCAUUUUAAAUAAUUUAAAUUGGGUCCUCUUUUACCCAUACACCAACAUGAACCAACAUGCACCAACAAAAACAAUAUACUAUUUGCUUCUUUCUUUUUUAGUGGAUGACAGAAAAUAUCCCUCUCUCACCAACAAAAACAAUUUAUAAUUUUUAUUUUUUGAGAAACUUCGUGUUUAACGGUCAAGCCAUCACAUAAUUUUAUUAGUUUAUAUGUUAUUAAAAUACGAUGAAAUAGAUAUAUCUGUAGACAUUGAAAUUUCGGUAAAUAAAUGUUGACCGAUAAAUCAAAGUGUCAACGCUCAUGUAUUACAUAAAUUUUACACAUAGCGUGUGACUCAACGAAAAUUGAAAUGAGUUGGAAAAAUCAUCAAAUAGGACACGUGUCAACACCUGGCAUAAACGACUUAUUUCAUCUGGGAUAUUAUAUUCAAAAUUAGGCCUUGAAAAAUUCUAUAAAUACAAGCCCAUUUCAUUCAUUUGAGGGGGGGAACCAAUUCAUAUUACACCUUGAAGCUCUGAAGCUCUGAAACUCCGAAGCUCUCAAGCAUCCAGGUUCCCGAAUAAUCAAGAAAGCCUUCUUCGUUCUUCCGUUUAUCGUUCUUCCAAGAUCAAGCCCCAACGCCCUUUGGAUCAACAAUCAUCCACCAAUUCAAGAUCAAGCCCCGACGGCCUUGAAGAAAGUGUUCUUCGUUCUUCGUUCAAAAGAUCAAGCCCAAAGGCCCUAAAGAACUUCCACCGAUUCAAGAUCAAAGCCCCGACGGCCCUUGAAGAAAGCCCAUCGUUCAUCAUCCCGUUCAUCCAAGAUCAGCCCCAACGGCCCUUUGGAUCAACAACGUCGACAAAAUCCACACAUCCACGUUCUUCAAGAUAAGCCCAAAAGCCCUUGAAGAUCCGUUCAUCACUGUCUUUAAGAUCAAGCCCAAAAGCCCUUGAAGACCCGUUCAUCACCGUUAUUCAAGAUCAAGCCUUAACGGCCCUUGAAGAAACACUCAUCCUUAACAUCAAGCCCCAACGGCUCCUUGAAGAUCCGCUCAAAUCCACCUUCAAAGAUCAAGCCCACGGCCCCUUGAAGAAACUUCCAACAGUUUAUCCAAGAUCAAGCCUCAACGACCCUUGGAUCAAUCGCACAUCCACAAAUCAACACCUUACGGAUAUGGAAUCAGAUGAUCAAAUUAGAGAGAGAUUGUAACCCAAAAUCCAUUAAUACAAAUAUUUGUUUGUGCACGUGUUCUUGUCUCUUUCGUUUCAGGAAUUUUCCGUGUUCACAAUAUCAUUUGGUAUUAAUUUUCAAUUAAAUAAUAUGCUAUGUGAUUGUGAAACAGUCAUAUUGAAAAACUACUUUUGAUUUUAAAAUUUCAUUUUGAAUUUUUUUGUCACAUUGAUACCUUAUUCAUGGGACAAUAAUAUAAUCGACAUUUUUUACCCUUUGCAAACGCAUAACAUCUCUUGCGGUAGCUGAAAGCUGUAUAUGCUCGCCUCUAGGCUCGUUCAUUGCCUCGUAAAACCUCGCUUAGUGCCGCAAGGGUGUAAGCAUAGUUGGUGGUGGAGAGCUUGACAACAUGUACCUCUCAUUUUAAGCUUAUAUUCGUGAUGCUUUUGUGAGAAAAAAACCUUUUAAAAAGGUGAAGAGAAAGAAAAGAAAGAUGAAAUGCUUUGUAGGGUGAAGAUGUGAGUGACCUUAAAUUGGCAAGGCAUCCAUGACCAUGAGAUGAGAGGCAGAUUUUGUUCAAAUGUAGGAAAAUUUAAAGUUAAAGAGGAAGCAAUAUAUUGCUUUUGAAGCAUUCUUUUUAUAUAAUAGCUUUUUAUAGCAAAUCAUGAUAAUUUAAAAUCCUCCUUCGGUUUUAUAUCAUCAUAAUCACAAGAAGUUUUUUGCAUGCGGGAGUGUUACUAUUUGAACCAUUCAUCUUAAUGGUUCGAUAGGAUAUUACAAGGAGAGGGUCCAAAUAUAUACAUUGAGCCGAGAAUGAAUCUUAACUUUCAAUUUUUUUUUUUGCUUUCUAAUGUUUAUAUUUUUGUAAAAGUAACAAUUUGGCCUUACAUAUAGAGAUUUAAUAAAUUUUUACAAUGGUUAAAUUUUACAUAAUACAUGUAUCACUCAAUUUGUAGCCGGACCGUUAAGCUUUCUUAUACUCCUUGUAUCAUUGAUGAAAAAUUACUGGAGCAAAUUAAAAACUAUAAAUCAAAACAUAACAAAUCCAUCUACGAUAUUUUGAGCUUCUAUCGAUUUUGAGCUACUAGAUUGUCAUAACUACUCACUUUAGUCCCUGAAAUUUAAAAUAUCACUGAGAUUGUCAAUUGUUAAUCAUUUUGAUCAGUCCGUAAAAAAUCUUCGCUAAAUAGAAAAAACUACAAAUUCAAGUGAAGGGGUUGUUUGUGAGAAGAAUAUCCAUAUUUUAACGAAAAUUUUCAUAUAAAAUCAAAAUAAUUGUCAAUAAACAAUCUAAGAACUAUUAUUUUAAAUCGUAAUAAUAGAAUUCCAUAAAACUAGAGAAAUUAGAACAUGGGCAACCAAUAGAAUCAAUCGGACGGCCGCAUGUUGUAAUACGCUGCAUGUGGGUAAAAAAUAGGGUCCCACCGUACCUUAAAAUAAGCUUUGUCAGGAUAUUUACCUUUUCUCAAUAAUGACGAUUAUCCACGUCAAAACAACCAACCAAUUUUAAUGCGAUCGUAAUACGUGUGGUACACUCAGUAUCAUUAUAUAAAUGAUGAGAUAUGUGUGUUAAAAAAUUAACAACUUAAAAAAUAUAAUUUUUCAUCAUUUAAAUAAAAACACGUAAUUUACUAUUCGUGUUCCGAUUACAAUACAGCAAUACCACACCCAAGAACCCAAAAAAAAUCAAUUAUUCCUUCUUUUUAUUUAAUUUUUUAAGCAAAAAGGUAAUAGUAAAAGAAAAGUAGGAAGGGCAUUUCGGUAAAACCGAAAGGCAAAAAUGGAUACGCGUCUCUAUGUGGUCCAUAUUUUCUCGCCAGUACCCGAACUUUCACUCCCUCAUAUUAUCCCCCUUCCCCAUUUCUGUCUCCUCCAUCGCCCAACCAAACCUCUCCUCUCCUCUCCUCUCUCUCUAAAAACCACAACUUUUUUCUUCCUCUCUCUCUGUCUCUCUAGAAAACCACAACCUCCAAUUUUCUUCCUUUCCAUCCAUCUAUAUCUCUGAAAAAAACAGAAAAAAAAAAAGAGAGAAGACGAGAGAGAUCCAUCUCUCGAUUGUUCAAAAUUUGAAUGAAAAAAAUGGCACAGAGAACGGAGAAGGAAGAGACGGAGUUCAAGGUCCCCGAAACGCUAACGCACUGCGUCAACAACUGCGGCGUCACCGGCAAUCCCUCCACCAACAACAUGUGCCAGAAGUGCUUCAACGCCGCAUCGGCCGCCGCCGCCGCCGCCACUUCAUCGUCGUCGUCAGCGGCGAUUCUGAAGUUUUCAGCCGAGAAAAGUCCGAGAUCUAGCUCAUCUUUCAGCUUCGAGGCUGCUGCCGAGACCUGCCGUAAGACGACGGCAUCAGAGAUCGCGAGAUCGGACGAAACGCCGAAUCGGCGCGUGGUUAAUCGGUGCUCCGGUUGUCGGAGGAAGGUCGGGUUGACCGGAUUCAGGUGCCGGUGCGGCGAGCUUUUCUGCUCCGAACACCGGUACUCCGAUCGCCACGUGUGCAGCUACGACUAUAAGGCUGCCGGUCGCGAGGCCAUCGCGAGAGAAAACCCCGUGGUCAAGGCCGCAAAGAUCGUCCGGGUUUGAUGAUUUAUAUAUCGAUUGACUUUGUAGAAAUGAAGCAACGCAAAAAGUGACGCGAAAAUUUGAAGAGGAAUUUGUGGCUCGAUCGGUUCUCAUGGCGCGUCUUUCUCUCGGAGACCAAAACGAAAUUCAGAGGCCGGGGAGAGAUCGCUUCGUUUAUCAAAUUCUCUCUGAUAAUUAUUUUUUUUUUUAAUUUUAAUUUUUCGUGUUCUUAUUUUUACUUUCUCUUGGAUUGGAAAUGAUAAAAUUAUUGUGAUGAUUUAAGGUAUUCGGCGUGUUUGUCGGUGUUCAUCUUUUUUCUUUUGGGGUAGUUUUAAUGUAUUUUAUUGUUUUUUCUUUUCUUCAAACUGUGAGCGGCAGUUGAAUUGACAUUCCAGGAAGUGACAGGGUGUUUUUCGUCAUUUCGCGUAUUUACAACUUGAAAUACAGUUGGUGAUGGUUGGGAAACAUCGGGCCCAAGGUAUGGAGACGAGAUGGGGGCUUUACAAUUAUUUAUUUAUCGCGAUAAAUUCGAUUGGCAUAGCCGCAUAGGCGAGUUGGAAAGAGAGCCUAUGGGAAGGGGUGAAGGGGGAACAUUUGCGUAUGAUAAUUGGUCGCUGUUUUCAAUGAAAAAGGUAGGAUAUGUGGCGGGGAUCUCGAGGGUGUGAGGAGAUCAACGGCUGAGGUUGUGUGUUGGUGGGUGAUUAGAAUAGAAUAGACGACGUCGAUGAGUGCGCGAGUGUAUAUAUGACCUGUAUUGUGCGGUGGGCCAUAGUGGGGUGCCGGGACUACUUGGACGUGUGGGGCCCCGCGUUUUGUGACCUUUGAGUGACAUGAAAAGCUGUCAGACACAUGGCUGUGGCUUAACUUGACACUAACCAUUGACUGACACAUGUGAAAUUUACAACAAUAAAAUUUAAAAAAGUAAAGCUUAUAACCAUGUCUCAAUUAAAAAAAAACUAAUGAAAAAUAUCUACAAAUUUUGAGCUGCAACGAAAAAGACAAAAUAAAGUGUAAAGUAAAUAGUAUCAGCGUUUAUUUUUUAAUGUAAAAAUGUGAUUUUUUGUUAA